rnacentral:lncRNA from 1 species
CAGCAUCCAACCAAAUCUAGCGGAUCAACGGCGCAUCAACUUAGUUCCUGGUCAGCUCGCAAAUUGAUUUUAUCACGUCCUACACCGUCCACAAGAUGGGGGACCACCUCCCAUUUCAACACUCCUCAAGCACCCGAGGAGCCGGCAGGCGGAUUUGAACCCAGGUCGGCCGGGAGCAGAAGUCAGGCCUUAACCUCUGCCAGCCGCCUGCCGUAUAUGUAUGUGCACAGCUUGAACCUGAGUUCCAUUCAUGUCAGGUUGUUUCAAGGAACAGAUUUCCAGGCCCGUACGGCAGUUGCUGCUUGCAUUUUGGCUGUUAUUACUUUGGGCGUCACCAAUUGAUGCCUUAUGCAUGCUUUGUCCUCCCUUCAGUGUACGGCAUCUCCCCCUCUUUACGUUGUCGGUUGUGAGUCGUACACGGUCCUUCUCCUCCUGCCUGGGCUUUGCUGAACCUCUCCGCAGGCGGCUGCUGGAGUACGGAACUCCCCGCUGGCGGCGGUGGCGUCUGGCGGCAGUGGCGGCGCCGCCGCUGGUGCCGCUGCGGUACCGGCGGCGCCCACUCAACGGCCCACUGACGUGGCGUCGCUGUACGGUCUAUCCGGUGCCGUACGGUUGAUGGAGAUGGUGGUGGAGGCGCGUCAUUGUAUCCGGCCGUUCCUGGACGGGGGCGAUUCGGCUUGUGGCGGACGGUGAGGGGCGGGGCCGAGGGAGGAGGAAGGGGGAAAGGAAAGGAGGGGGGGGGGAGGGGUGUGUCUGGGCCCGUCUUAGGGCUCCAACCUCCUGCCGCGGCAAGAUUCCGAGUACGGAAUAUCUGUGUAUGUCGGUACGGAAGGGAGUUGGGCGCCGUGUUUGUACGUGUGUAUGUAUCAUAGAAAAUGAAGGGAGGGAAAGACAUAUUUUCCAGGACUCCCGAGUACCCCGAGGACUUGUCUGUAGCAAAACCAGGAAAGGUCCCCCCAUAGGUUUCAGUCCCACCCUGACCCCCUCACUACCAGAGGUAUCAACACUUCCUAGCUUCAUCGCCACCAUAAUUACAACCCACCACGUCUCGAACGAAUUUGUCGCCGAUGUCGUACGCCGUACAGGUUGGUGGACGUGGCGUUCCUUGACCUGGCGCUGGACAGCGCUCUAAGAACCGCCGUUGAAGCCAACAUAGGGCCCGUCAAGAAGACCAUCGCCGACGCGACUGCCAUAUACAUCGCUGCGGCGGCGGCCGGGAAGGGAGCCAACGGCGGCGGCGGCGGCAGGGCCAACGGCGCCGCCGGCCGGGUUAUUGGUAACGGUAAUGGUGGCGGCGGUGGCGGCUCCGUGCUGCCCCUCCGUGGCUCCUUCGCGGCGGCGGCGGCGCUGACCCAGGUGGGGCUGGGGGCGGGGGCGGGGGUGGGGGUGGGUCCGACUUGUAGUGGUGGGAGUGGGAGUGGGUGGGAGGCUACGUCUGACAUCAUCCCCUCCCUCCCUUUCCCCCUCCUGGUCAGUUCUACGUCUGGUACACUCUUGCACUGGCAGCAGCUUCACUCGCUCGUGGUUCGUCUUUCCCCCCCUAUACCCCCUCCCUCCGUCACACACACAAAUAUGUUGAGCAGGGUAGUGGAUAUCCGCAAUGAGCCCCAUCAGGGGCGUGUCUGUGAUGUAGGGUGAUGUGUUGUACGUCCGUACUCAUCGUUAGAGGCUUCCGGUUGGGUGUGUCUCUUACCUUGUGUAUCACUGGGCACACAAGGUAAGAGAUCCGGGAUCCUCCGUUAAUCCGGGAUCCUCUGCUGCCGGACCUGUCUCACCGUUCCCUUCUUGUCGUACCCUGACCUGCUUCACCCCCUCCCCCGGGUGCCCGGGGGCCCUACAACCCCUCCUGACUCCCGCCCAACCCCUGUGUCCCUCCCUCAGGCCUCCACACCCCACCCAACCUCUAAAGCCCUGCAAGCAAACAAACAAACAAUCCUGAAUCGGGACAACAAAUUAUUAUCUCAUCGCCCUAUUUCUAUGAAACCCUUAUCCAAACGAAUUCCACCCGGACACCCCCAACACCCCCAACAUGUGCAGUAUCUGUCUAUCUCUGGUAUAUCUGCUUCAAUUGUCAGUGGUUCGUCUUACCCCCAACACCCAGUUCCCCUUCCCCCGAUCUCUUUCCCCGGUGGCCCCGGUGGCCCUGCCCGGGCCGUCCCCUCUCAGGCUCUGGAGGUGGUUCGGCUGGCGGCUGAGAACGCGGCCCUCAGCUGCUGCCCGAAUGACGACCUUGUGUACUCCAACAAAUGGCUAAGGCUGCUGGUGGCACAAGAGGGUGGGGGGGGGAGGGGAAGGGCCUUGCUGAGAGGGAAGGGGGGGGGGUGCGGGGCGGAGGAAGAGGAGGGGGAAUGCGGGGUGGGGGAAGGGGCUCCGAGUCGGGUGGCACUCCCCAACUCCUCCACCGCCUUCCCCAUGCCCCUGUGUCUACACAGACCCACGGGACGCUCGUGACCGCAUGUUGCAAGCCCUGGCCAUUGCGGAGCGGUUGAAGCGCUUCCUGGCGGACCACGGGGCGGCGCUCAUAGGCCUUAUACAGCCGGCAGCGGAGGCCCUGGCAGACAGACUAAAAUUGCAGCCGGUGAGACAGUUCGUGGGCGGGAGAGGGGAGAGGGGGGAGGGGAGAAAUGUUUUGGAUGUCCACCGCGCGUGUACAUUUAUACAUUGAUGUGUUCAUGCCUUAGGGAUAUAACAUUGUUUAGUUCUGAAGGCAUGGUCGUACCCCGAGGACAGCCCAAGAAUUCUCUUCGCGAUGUACGCCGUACGGUGCAACGUACGGCACAGGGCAGCAACUGUCUUAACUGCCCACCCGACUCCACCCGGUGGGGAGUGUAUUGCAUUGCAGGCGGCGGUGAGCGGCGUGGGGGAGGAGGUGGUUCGAGGCAGCAGCGGCGCCCCUCUGGCUCAGCUGCUGGCUUCCCUGGAGCCGGCUCUGCGGCAGGCGACCGGGGGCGGGCCCUGGCAGGUGGGGGGAAGGGGGGAAAGGGGUGGGUUAGGUCGCCCUCAUCGGGGGCCGGGCGAGAGGGGAGCCCGGUUUAGGAGCCGGGAUGGUGCGAAGGAGGGGCGGAUGCAUUCCGAGAAGGAAAUGUUCCCCCAUAGGGGCCAAAACAGCGAACUGUUCAACCGCCGACGGACUGAUCGCGACGUCAUCCAGAGUGCCGGCACAGCCGAACAGGAGUUGUCCAAAGCGAAUGAGGACACCGCCGGGGGGGUGGUGUAUCGGAACCUAGUCCAGGAAUACAUCACUACCUUGUUGCCGCCUUCCGCUGCCUUCCGACCCCGCAGCAAGAUGCGAUGCUAUGGCCCUCCCACCCACCCACCCACCACACCCACCCACCACACCCACCCCGUAUGCCAUUUUUAACACCCUUUGCCCCUCUCUUCACUGUUGGUUCUAUAUCCCGCGGCGGGCUGGUCAGAUUGUGAGUCGGGGCUCGGGCCGUCCCGUACUUGCCGGACGGUUGCGUGUGGAGGCCCGACUGGCUGCCGUACAGCAUGAGGUCAUGCGUGAGCCCACCGUACUGCUCGUGGAGGGAAUCACGGGUGGGUGGAUGGCCAUGUAGCUCUAGGGUGUGUGUGGGGGGAGCCGCGGUUGGAGGACCUAGUGUUAAUUAGGGGUUCCUCUCCUCCACCUCUCCUCCUCCUGGUGGGGGGUUGGGGGGCACUGGGAACUACUCGUACCCACCAGGGGGCCCAAGUCGUGGGCGGGUAAUGCGCCGCUGGGGCCCCCGGUGGGUGGAGCCAUAGGUCGUCCAGGAAGGCAUCGUACCGUCCACUACCCUGCUGGUGCUGCUGCUGGUGCUGCUGCUGGUGCUGCUGGUGCUGCUGCUGGUGCUGCUGGUGCUGCUGGUGCUGCUGGUGCUGCUGGUGCGCAGAUUUGGACACGACUCCCUGAACAACUCCCCGUCCCCUUGAAACCCCGGCCCCCGGCCGGUGUGUGUAUAUGUAUGUGUGUCUGUUUAGGUGCUGAGGAGAUUCCCGAUGGCUGUGUGGCUGUGCUGGUGGGGGGAGGCGCCUCGGGGCCUGGCUGCCCCGACGUGCUCAGCCACAGCGCUGUGAGGGCCCGCAACAUGGGGGUGUUGCUAGCAGGCUGCCACUGCACGGAGGUACAUGGGUGGCGGGGCAUGUGUGUGUGUCUGGGAAAGGGGGGGACGGAGGCGUCGCACGCGUGCGUGAUGGCAUGUAUGUAUGUUUUGGGGAUUUCGGGAAUUUGGGAACCUGGGAGGGGGGGGGGAAGGGGGAAAUUUGGACAGGUUCCAUGACUCGUAGGUCCGGUGAUUCGUAGGUCCGGUCUGUGUGUCCCAGGGAGCUGAGUUGCCUUCUUACGGGUCUGUCUGUCAGUCUGUAUAUGCAAUGAAUGUUGGUUGAGCUCCGAACAUGCGAGUGCACCCCUGGGGUAGGGGAACGCAGUAGGGAGGUGAAGCAGUAUGUCGUAUGCACGGCAGCCUUAUCCGCAGACUUCGGCUCUUAUUGCUGCGCCUUUAGUUGUCCGACGUGAUUCAACCUCUCCCUUUAUGCUCUGUGUGUUAAUGCGCUUUACGCAUGACAGCCAUUACACGAAACCAGUACGAGUUCCCCCUCACUCCCCUUCCCCCUCUCCCUCGCACUACCCGCACAGCUGGUGUCGCGAAUCAAGUCCCACGGGGGUAGUCGAGUGAUGGUGCGACUGGAGGGGGCCGACGUGCAGAUCAGCUUCAGUAGCACGGGAGCAGCCGGGGCGGCGUUGACAGCGGGGGAUGGCGCUGCUAAGUGACGAGGAGGCAGACGACGGGUGGAUUGGGCUUUGAGCAUGUCAUGGUAGAUUUUGGAUGUAUUCGCAGCUGGAAAUAUUCUUGGCAUCACCCAAGGGUUGGUCCGUUGUGUAGGGACUGCAACACAACGGAUUGAGGCCGUCCCCACUCCCGGGGAUGCGGUGGAGCAGCGGAUGGUGGGGGGGAGGUAGAUUGAUAUGCAUAGACGAGGGACGAUGAUGUGCUGAACAGCAGACGUGGGAACGCAUUAGCGGACGCCUCCGCUGUUUCUUUCCGUUGCAACUCGUUGCUCGCGAGGGGGAGGAUCUGCGGCCUGUGCUCACCGAUUGCGAUUGCGUUGCUACCAUUGGCUUGGUUGCUGGGUCUGCUGAGGAUAAGACACCUUGUUCGACGGAUUGGUCGGCAAGGAGGACGUAUCUUUGUUAUUCGGUAGCUAAAGCUGUUGAUUGCUUUUAUUGGUUGCUGUAAGUUCAAAUAAUUUGUAUUGACUGCCUGAUAUUGGUCGUUGGUUUUAUUGUGCCGUCCAUUCAUUCUUGGAAAGCAGUGUCAGAGGCGUGUUCGUAUGGCCAGGAUGGUGUGCCGUCUGAGAUUGUGUGUUUAUCCUGCGGACCGCUGUGGCGCUCAUUGCUGAUGAAGGCGAGGCUGUGUGUGGAGCGUUGCCUUUUGCCACACAUGUAUACUAUGCUAUCGUGCGUUGCAGCGUGUUUGUUGCCGUACCAGCGGCUCGCAUAUACGCCAGGCCGCCUGCUGGAAAGGUGAGCUAUGCUGGCCUACCGAAUUAAGACUAGCAAAGUGAAGUCAACACCUAAGCCUGUCAAACUGAUUGACGUUGUCGCUCUUGUUGAGUUGGAUAUAGGUUGAAUCAACUCGGCCGUCAUUUGCCACAUCUGCAAUAUCGUUUUCGUUUAUGUUAUUGAUGUCGUGAGUGACGUGGCGUGAUAAACACUUUGAGUAUCAGCAAACGUGUGUUGCCGAGUGUGUUUCGGGCGCGGCACAAAUCCUGCCCGGUAGAAUUUUCACUGAGUCACAUGGCUCCAAUUGUAUUUGCUUGCUGACAACCUUGAUCGUUCCUAUGCAAUAUUACAGACACCGAUAAAUGGUUUCAGGUAUGAAGUAGUUAACAGUUAGUAUGCACAACAGUAUUACUGCGGAGUCGACUAUCCACACAUGUAAAGACGUUGCCAAUAAACACCGCUACAUGUCGCUCUCAGACACACAGCAGCAGAUCGACAACUCAGACGUCAGUCGUGUUGAUAUCAGCGCCGCUCAUGCCAGCGCUAAUAUCGGAAGCACAAGCACAUUACGCGAUGGACGCUGCCGCCCGUGUGAACGCCUCAUCCGCAGCCUCAAGUCGUUUGACGUUGGGGUGAUUGGCUGCUACCAUCUUGAGCUGCCUGCAUGGGAUCAAGUCACAGAGCCGGCACACCGAACAACGUAAUUGUUACUCAACUGCUAACAUCAAUCAACCCUCUGCACAUACACAUAUGCUUGCGCUAGUUUCCCCAUCAGUCAUUCCUUCCAAGUGUAAAACCUCUGCCGACCUCGCGCUCCUAGUCCGGGCCGAACAACAAAAUCAGCAUGGGCGGCCCACGCACCGGUAACACGCAGCGGGGCGUUCUUCUACUCCCCUUCCUGAACACACGUUACAAAGCGGCGUUGCCUCACACUGAAGAGAAAGAGGGCCCUCAUAACUCACGUCUGGUAGCGUGCGACGUUCUUGCCUAGGUGCAGCCCAACAGUAAUUAGAUUGGACAGCGUAUCCGGGUCCUUGGAGUCCUUGGAGAACGCCUCCUGUAGAUCGUGAUCCGCAUCCUCCCAGCGCCCCAUCUUCAUAUAGCACACCGCGCGGCCAUUGUACAGGGCGGCCUAAAAUAGAAAGCGCACGCGACGCAACACAGUGAGGGAAGAUGGCGGUUCAGCUUUGGAAGCGAAGAUUCCCGAGACGCCAAUAGGGCGACGGCAUUCCAUGCCCCAAAGGGCUGCUAAGCAGCCACGCAUACACCGCCAUGGCAGGGGCCGAGCACACAGCAGCGUAUGCACCAGCAUGUUUGGCAAGUAACGAGGCGCCACAAGGCCGUGCCUAUGCUUGACUUUAGGUACAGCCCCGUACUUUUAACCCUUAAACAUGGCGCAAGCAGACAUAGGAAUACAUAACUUGACUCGUGAACGGAGACGUCCCUAUUUCGAGCGAAUGGGGCAGCGGGACAAGCCCGCAAAGCAACAAGGCUGAGGCCGUGCCAUUCCGAGGCAACAUCUCGUGCCAGCGCCUUCCCCAGGCUGGCGAGGUUAAGACCAAGGAGGCGUGCCAAGACAUGCGCCCAACUCCUGCCCCCAUACUUGGGGAGGAGAUAGUCUGCCCACCCUCGAUGGACAGACAAAGAUGCACAGGGCUACAGUUUGGGUCGUAAGCCGUGCAAACAGAUAUGCAUCUGUACCGUAUAGUUAUACUUCUCGCCCAGCUCCUGGUAUACGUAAGCAGCCUCCUGGACCUUGGCACCGCCCUGUCGAGGUGGACCGAUGGUACAAUUACAGGGCAAUCAUUACAGAACAACCAGACCCCACAGCAGCGGAUCGCAGACUGGUGGACCUAACCGCAGGAGCUAGCUCAACGCAAAAAUCUACAAUCAGAACCUUAAUCGGCUGCAUAGCUUCACUGGCAGAUGAAGAGUAAAUGGGCAUGGCCAAUAGGCGCCACGGCAUGCUAAGUCAUGUGGUUCGUGAAGCGGGCCCAAGGACAAUAAAAUGACACUUAGAUGCAGCGUGGCUUACACACAAUGAAUCCUGUUGGAGUUGGGAAACGUAUGGGUGAAGGGGGCUUUAUGCUUUUCACAACAUGCUCCCCUGGAAAAUGGAUGGCACAUGGCAGCUGCAGUACUCCCGGGCCCCAACCCCUUGCCGAAUGGCCCAGAGCGACACUCACCAGCGCCUGGCCAACCCACGCGGUAGCCAGCUGCGUCAGGGUUGCAUCAUCGUCGAUACCGGACAUGGUCUGAUAUUAAGGCAAGGGGCAAGACAGCGUUACGAAGGGAGGACUUUGGAGCUGCUCGUCCAGCACACUAACGAUUGUGCCACUCUUGUCGCACCUUGACCUGCAGCUCCGCCUUAUCUGGCCGGUCCAUCUUCAGGUACACCUGGACGCAGAGGGCUUGCCUGCAACAGCGCGAGGAAUGCCAUUUCUAAGACCCCGCAAACGCUUAUCCAAAGCGCCGAAACCGAACAAUUCUCACAGCUCAAGGUUUGUGCUUCCAUGACAGCAUUUGAGCGCCUCCGGGUAAUUCCCCUCCUGCGCGUGGAUCAUUCCCGCUACCAGCAACACGGUCGUGUUCCUGUUGCAAGCUGAAUCUGACAGCCAGUCUUGAAGAGUUGCCAAGACAUCCUCCUGUGUGUAAAUAAUGCAGUGUUCGUUGUUUAACCAGGGCUCCCCACUGAUUAUUGAGCAAGGCUUGCCUUCGACUUGCGCCCCGAUAAGUACUGCGCCAAGAGUUUCACCGCAAGAAGUCCGGUGGCAGCUGAAUCUCGAAUUUCAUUGAUCACCAACUGCAAGCACGAAGCGAAGCCAUGUGCUCUGACACUGUAAGGAAAUUGCCGCAACGUAGCCAAAAGAGUCCUAAGCUAUAAGAUGCUCACAUCGUAGCUGCCCUGCGCGAUGUAGGAACGGUAAACGAAGCAGUCACGCUCAAUCGCCUCAGCUUCUGACAAGUCCAGGUCAGCUGCCUCGUUGAUCACUGUAUUGUAAGCUCCUAGAUAAAAGGCAUUUCGAACAUUGAAUAGGAGAUCCGCCAUCGCUACAGCGGCUUGGCAAUCACCAACUAAACGUUUGCCGUUAAAAGUUUGCCUUCCAAUGCUACUUACGACUUAAUGUGUUAACCAGAAAUAACAACAUACCCAAACAAUAACCGUGUCCCAUGAACCAUGCCUAAGGGAAUUGGCGCAGUACUGUUGCCGUACGUUUAAGGGAUGCACCCGUUCACAGAGAGCCUCAUUCCGCAACGACCCAUCAACUUCACCUUAUAGUAUACACAUGGCCACCCGACGAAACAACUACUUUGUGAGUCAGCACGGCAACUUUUCGUCCUGUAGUAAGGGGCAAGCAGGGGCCAAGCCGAUGCGCGAUCGUACGUGCCACAAGCCUAUGCCAGCUUCGCCAGCCAAAGCCAUCGCCACCAAACGCAGGUCUAAUUUGUCAUUGCCAUCAGAUUGUAGCACACAUGGGUCGAUGUCAACACCGCUUCCUGUGAACGGCAUUCCUUCCUGCAUGGCAUCUUCAUGGCUCUGCCAGGAAGGGCAGUGACGUCCAGAUUGCUGUCAUAUGUUUUUCGUCGACCUGACGCCUUGCCUUAGUAUUGUACCUGCACUGUCCUUCGAGGGAUAAGAAUCGUCCCACGUGGUGAAACCCCACGAAAGCUGUUCCACACUGAUCCUGCAGACCUGCUUGGGAAAAGAACCUACCCCAGCACCCAUUAAGCCUGCUUCCGUCUUGUUUCCAACAGCUCCAAGUACUUCGCAUGGUGCUUAAUGCACGGAUGGUUGCUACAGUUGAUGCUCUCGCUUCACCAUCCUGGUUCGUGGCCGCCCGUCAGCCCUGCCAAACAUUGCAAACCAGGGGAACUCCUGAUACCCUAAGUACAUCGUGAAAAUAAUAAAUUUGGACCACGGUAGAUUUGUAAAGACAGAGUUAACGGUCGUCCGUCUGGUUCUCCGGUCGCAGGUUUCUGCAUGCAGUUGUGAACCCGUACCACAGUACAAACGGCCUUCAGCAUCCAAGCUCAUGGUAUCGACGAGGCGAAUCCAUUCACGGUGAACAACAUUGUCUUGAUCGUAGUUAAACAGGCAGUAAAGCCCUGUUCCUUUACGCCAGCGUCUUGUUAGAAGUUCAACGCUUCUUUUGGAUCCAUGCAUUCCGUGAAAAUGCCAAAGUUAUAUUAGCUCCUUAUAUAGUAGAACAUGCUUUGCAUACAGCGAAAGGGUAAUUAACAAUCUUUAUGACCUAGAGAUGACCGUGACAAAUGGAAAUGAACUGAAAGAGCGUCUUGGCAACCACAGUAAUUUCAUAUGUAAAGGACUAACUUACAAGUAGCCUAAAUUACGGGCUGACAUUACUUUGGAGGGAUGAAGCUCGCGGUUCUGCUUGCGACUACUGCGGCGAUGCUAGCAUGGUGCGGCGUCCAACUCUACCAUGUUUUGCAAUCCCAGCAAUCAUGCGAGAUGACCUACAUGUAUGCGAAGUACGCUGCCGUCGAGAUGCCACCUGAGACAGCCGGCCUCAAGGUUUCAUCAUCUGGCCCCAACGGCUCAAUAGAGGUUUCCGCAGUCAUGAUGCAUACCGCUGCACCUACCUCGCCACUACCCGACUGGGCAAAGGAAUUCUCUACUGUGGCCAAUCGGGUUGUGGUUGCCGUGAAUAACUUGAGAAACUCCAGAUACCGACUAUGGCGGUACACGGGCGAUGACCAAGGUGAGCUGCGUUGUCCUCUCCCAGUCUCUAUCGGUCGAACCUCCCACAUUCACAGGACGGGGGUAGAUCGUGAGAGUUGACUUGAGUCUGUCUUGGAUCAGAGAGGGGGGAGUCCCGGCACGCUUGUAAGCGGCCCUGCACCCACAGGGGCCAUGUGGACUCACACGCCGCACGGGGUAAUUAAUCUACCGAGGCGGCUCCUCAUCCACGUAGCUUUGGCAGACAACCUACCCCUGUAUUGCGGCCAUGCGAACGUGCGCGCGGCGAGCAUGACAUUGAACGGUGUAUCUUACUAUAAGCAGCGCCGCCUGACGGUCUCCCCGCUGGCUGGAAAACGUCUUGAUUGUUUGCUCGCAGGUCCGCGGCGGGGCAGUGGACUGGCAUUGCCGGUGUUGUUCAUCCCUGGCAACGGCGGCUCUCAUGAGAUGGUGCGCGGCGGGACUUGGGAUCCACUUGUCGUAUGGGGAAGAAUGUCUCAUGGCUCAAUUAUAAGCCGCAAGUUCUCAGAGCAAAAAUAUGUGAGCGCGAAGUCUUGGCCAAGUCGAUUGACGAGUUCAGGGACAAGUACAUUGACACCGGGGACGGGGACUGCGUAGCUUUGCCCAAGCCGGUAGGUUAGCUUCCCGUCCCGCAACCCAUUCAUGUGGGACGUCAACGGCAUGCCAUCCGCCUGCCUGCUAGCUUUCCUGAUGGGAUGCGCCUAGCCGCCUGCCACUGCCUGGCCCAUUAUUGCGCGGCCGCUUACCCCGUUUUCUCUUGUCGGUACCUUUUUGUACCGUAUUGCUCGCCCAUUCGCAGCGCUUUCGUUGAUACCUAUCCAGGUUCGCUCGCUGGCCUCCGAAACCGCCCGCCGAAGCUCCCGUCUGGGAGUGCGCUUUUUGGACCCGGUGGACGUGAUCUGGUACAUGUUGGAUCUGGAGGGCGAGUGGUCGGCCUUCGACGGUGAUAUCCUGGUAGGUUGGACAAUGGGUAGGUGACCCAAGGCCUUGGACCUGUGUGCAGGCGAGAGGGACCCAGGACUGCCUGACCUUGGGGGCCCCCUCCCUGACCCCCUCCUGUCUCACGCGUUCUGCCUCUUCCUCCCACCACUACUACCUACCGCCGCAGGAGAGACAUGUGAAGUUCACGUUAGCGGCAAUGAGGCACCUGGCAGCCAUCCACAACAUAAUCACCCCCAGUAGUGGUGGGGCCGCCGACACCAACACCCGCAGCACCACCACCGCGGGCUCGAGCGGAGGGCGCCGGCCUCUGCAGCUGCACCCGGGUCUGGUGGUGGUGGGACAUUCUAUGGGAGGAGUGGUGGCGGCGGAUGCACUGGCGCGAGCGGCAGAGGACCCGGAACUAGGUACGCCCGCCUGGCGGUGUAGGAGCGGCAGGUGGUAGUUGGAGCGGCAGGCGGUAGUUGGAGAGGCAGGUGGUAGUUGGAGCGGCAGGUGGUAGUUGGAGAGGCAGGUGGUAGUUGGAGCGGCAGGUGGUAGUUGCCGGUGGUGUACAUGGCAUGAUUCGGCUGAUGGAGUCCAUGUGUCGCUGGUGUUGUAGCGCGGCCACACUAGAUGGGCCGAUAGGUGAUGAAGUGGGCGGGGAUCUCCUUUCAUUGCAUUUCGCACAGCUGCCUCCUCAGUUGACCUGCCAUAAUCGGACAGCUCGCCUUCUGGUCUAUACAAUGUGAGUUCUUGCGGCCCUUGCGCGCCCGAUGGAUCCGGAUGUAGAUUCCAGAACUUCAGGUUUCGGCCAAGAGAUUAAUGUACGCAGAGUCCGUGACCCGCCACACGAGCGUGUGUGUGGGUGUGUGGGUGUGUGGGUGCUACAUAUGGGGUCGCCACGUGGGUCGAAAGGCGUUAGGACACUGCGGCGGCUAUAUACGCCAAGAAGGUCACGAGUCGGGGUGGUGGUGGUUAGGGAAUGCCAUGGCCUGCUCUGCACUACCUCCUAUGGACGCGGCGCAUGCAAAUCUGGGGUUAUUAAAAGGAUGCCGCACAGGGACAGAGACCCCACCGCUGGUAAGUGUGAAGGCUACGUGACACGACGACCGAACAGUUAGAAGAAAGCACCUAUUCCGCGACACCCGGUGCGCAUGGGCGGGGACAGCUCUCCUUUGAGCCCCCCUCUCACACCACGGCCUUCCUUCCAUUGCCGCAGGUCCGUCCCUCGCCUCGCUGCUCGUGACGCUAGGCUCGCCCCACGUCCGACCACCUGCACCCGGACACCCGUCCCUCCAACGUUUCUACACGCGGGCAGCCGCCCGACCGCGCCCCGUGGUUCCCGUGGUGGCCAUCGCGGGAGGCGCCGCGGACGUCCAGGUAAGUGUGUGCGCGUGCGGGGGUAUGCGAGGCAACGAGGCGGCGCCAACGGAUGAGAUUGUCAGUCUUGUCGUCGUUUGUCAGGCCGUCCUCUGCACGUGUGAUAAUGACCACCAGCCGUUCGUUUCCGCCUCUGCCGGCAAGCAAUGUCUCCACCUCUCCAGUCUGUUCUGUUUGCCGUCCACCGCAGCUAUCACUAAUUGCCCCUGCCGCCGCCGCCGCAACCAUAGCUUGGCGCUGGCACUACCUGUAUGCUCUCGUGGGACACUCGUGCCAAGACUGCAACCGCAAUGCAAAGGCGCCGGCCUGCUUAUCUUCCUGUGCGAUGCAUUUGGCUGUCUGUACCUUUGGAGACACACACGCACCCAUACACACACGUACGCAUGCAUGUAUCAGGUCAGGCACUACUGGUAGAGCACCCACCAAUGCCCCCGGGAGAUCGCGGGAUCGAGACCUGUCAGGGUCGAAAAUCCUUCCGAUGGUGGAAGGUAAAGUGCCCCUAGUUGAUGGACGAUGGUGACCUGGGAUGACGUUGACUUGCGAGCUGACCAGGAAUGGAGUUGAGCCGCCGUCGAUCCGGCAGUUUCCGUUGGAUGCCGGUGGUGGGUGCGGAGCCUAAGUGGCCCACUGAGAAGUUGACUAGGGCAACCGGAUGAGGGUGGCCCGAAAUACCGGGGAAGGCAGGGUUUCGCAGGGUAGCGGCCACGGGUGAAGAUAUGGCCCCCUGUCCCACACAUCAUAAGGAGAGUCUCCCUUCGCGCACACACGCAUACACGGUUGGCCAUCUGUAUAUGCACAUGUGUGCGAACGCGCGCCCGUACGCACGUGACACGGCACAGCCGAAUCACUUUCACUCUCUCCCUCCCGCACUCGGCCCCUUUCCUUCCCCACCUCCGCAGGUGGCGGCGGCGCUCACCGAUCCGGAAGGUCUUGCACCACAGGUGGGCAGGAAGGGCACCGGGCAGGAAACAGAUUGCUAAUAAUGCUCAUCUGGAACGGGCGAGCGCACACUACCGGUGACACCCCGGUGACUCCUCUCAGCUGCAGCAUGUCGUCCGUGUAGACUGCUACUUACUCGCCGCACCACUGGCGGCGCGGGCCCGCAGCUCCCCUUCACUGUCCUUCCGCAGCGGCUGUUGUCCUGCAUGCUUUCACUGUACCAGGGGCUGCCAGGGGCUAUAUUCCGUUUUCCACCUCUGAUUAUUGGUGGUUCUUUGUGAUGCUCAUCUUUUGCUCGCCUUUAGGGCAGCUUCACUGCGGGUUUUGCUGUCGCCACAUCCCCUCUCCUUCCGUUGCCGACCCUGUCGUCGCUCUCAGGGCAUGUGGCGGCGGCUGGUUCUUUCCGAGCUGCCAGGCGGCUGGUGUCCCUCCCGCCACAACGGUCUGGUGUGGUGCAACCAGCUUGUGGUGGCAUUUGGGCAGGCGCUCGUGGAACUGGCACAGGUAAGUGGUAUGUAUUUAUAUAUGUAUGUAUGUGUCGGGUGUUGACCCUAGGGGCCCUAGUAGUGUUCCGUAGUAGUAGCUGCAGUGGCCAAGGAGUGGCCAAGGCCGCGUUAACGAGCCGAGAGCACUGAGGUUCACGGCGGACAUUGUAAACCUCCAAUAGCGCCUUCACGCCGGACAAGCCAGCAGAUUGCAGGCAAACAAGAAGCGCGGCAGGCAAAACAGGAUGGCAGCAAGGCAGGCAGGCAGGCAGGCAGGCAGGAGGUUGGCAGCGACAAACAGGCGUAGCUGAAGGACAGAGUUCAGAGCUUUCUUCUGCAUCAUGAAACCAUAAAUUAGUUAGCUUCGAGUUGCUGUGCGCUGGGUGCCACUCUGCCCAAGGGGGCCCGAAGGCACCGAGAUGGUCGCAUAGACACGCACCACAAUGCAGUGCCUGCGGACCACUCGGUGCAGCCACAAAAGCGACCUCAGGUCGACGCGUUUCCCUUUGAAAACGGUGUAGGAUAAGAGCGAAACUGCAAAAGCGUGUAGAAACCGGGGUCAGAGGCAGCGCUGUUAGGAGGCGGUUGGUUGGUUGUAAACAUGGAGGGGGCAACUGGAAGUAAGUGCGUAACUAUACUAGGACCAUACUAGUAGAGAAAAGUGAAGUGCGUCGGGUGGGGACGGUGUAGCUGGGGAAUAUGUGUGGAUGGCGGGGUUCGCGUGCGAAUGUCAGAAAGUUAACGUGAACCUCAAGUGUACUGGAGCGUGACACAAGGAUAAUUCUGGUGAAUGUGGUCUGGAAUGUGAACCGCAUGAUUGCAAAGCUUGGCGAACGUGGCACCGUGCAUGGAGGCGGGCUUUACAUUCCCUUCCGCGUCGGAAAGGAGGGUCAGCUUGUGGGCCACAGCCACCAUCUGUUGAGAGCUGAUCCAAGCCAUGGCCGCAUAUACCUUCCCUUGUUCGGAAACAUCGCAUAUACUGCAAGAGUGCUUCGGUCCUCGACUUAUUUCCCUCCUCUGAUCCCCUCCUCUGUCGUACAGCCGUACAGCCGUGAAUUCCGCACCCCAUUUUGUGACGUCCCUUAUGCCGCACCUUUGUAAGGACGCAUUACCGGACCUGGCGGCGGUGCGCAAUGCAGCGGCUGCAGCGACCACCAGCAGCCGCCGUCUUACCCACGAAGAGGCAUCCGACCGCUCCGCCGCCGAAGCCCCGGCCGCCUGGGCGGCCGCACAUGGACUGGAUGCAGCGCGAAUCGUAACGGAAGGCCUUUCUCACGAUGAUGCCGUCGUACAGCCUCCUAAUACGGGGCGCUCCUGGGAUUGGGCAUUACGGCGGCUUGACCAGCACUUGGCACACCCUGCACAGUCGUACAUGGCGGCGGCAACUGUGGCAGCGGCGAUGCCGCCGUCGCCUGGCCUACGGCGCCAAACGCGACGGGCUCAGGGUGUGGGGAACGAUGGCCACAGCAGCAGAGUUGAUGGCAGUGGAGAGGGUACCGGGGGCAUCCAUGGGACGAAGGUCGACUCGGAGGAGAUGCCGGAGCGAGAAAGGAACGAUUUGGAGGGCGUGGGCGAAGCAGGGCCCUUGCUCCGGCUGGCUCAGCGGGCAUUGACGCCUUCAGCGGACGGCGGGGCGGCCUGUGGUGGCGCCAACUUGGCCUGGUAUUUACAGUACGGCGAUCCACAGCGGCUGAAGCCGGGCGAGGAUGGGCAGGCGACGCUACGUCUGCUGCCGAGUGACUUGGAGGGUGUUCCCGGCUGGGGCCGCAUGUACUCCUGGGAUCUGACGGACGGAACGGGACCCAUGGGUCGGCGCUUGGGUGAGGAGGGUCCCCGAGGCUGGGCAGCCGUUAUCUCCGGAUCCAACCCCUGUUCAGCGUUCCGAGCCUGGCUCAGUGUCACGGUGGACUAUGGCACGGUUACUGGCAGCCCUGCCGCAGCGACGGCGCCAGGUGAUCAAGGGAGUAAAUUGCAGGAGAAAUUGCAGACGGCAGCGCGGCGGGCGCUUCCCGCGCGCAGUCGGUCGGUGCGUCACGACGUGGAGGUGACGGGGUUUGCGGCGCCAUUGCCCGCGGUGUCCGCGGCGGGCGGAUGGCGAACUCGGCUGCAAAGGUGAGUUGUUGAAGUGGUUUCCUACCUACUGAUGCGAGCUGACCGUUCAAGACGACGUAUGGGAAUGCGGCGGGACAGGAGUGCGGAGGGCCCCUGACUGACUGUGGAGGGCCUCCCCUCCAUCUAUAUAUACGGCAGGUUAGGGACUGUUAGGUAUGCAUUUGGCACUGUAGGUUAAGCACUACUGGUAAGGCACGCGCCAUUGCACCCGGGGGAUCCCGGGAUCGAGACCUGUCAGGGUCGUAAAUCCUUCCGAUAGUGGAAGGCAUAGCGCCCCUAGUUGAUAGACGGUGGUGACCUGGGAUAAAGUUAACCUGCGAGCUGACCAGGAAUGGAGUUGGGCCGCUGUCGACCCGGCAGAUUCCGUUGGAUGCUGGUGGUGGGUGCGGAACCUGAGCGAUCCACUGAGAAGUUGGCUAGGGUGACUAGAUGAGGGUGCCCCGGAAGGCUACCGGGGAAGGCAGGAUUUCGCCGGGUAGCGGCCACGGGUGAAGAUAUGCCCCCCUGUCCCACACAUUAUACGGCGAUCGUAGCUUAGUCCGUCUGGAUCUGCUCAGAUCGCACAUUGGCUGCAUCUACACACCGACUUACUAAACCUACACUUCCUGGAUCAGUCUAGACCUGUCGCCCACCUCCCACCUCCCACCUCCCACCGGGUGUUUGUAUCGCCUCAGUGAGUGGCAACUCAUCAACCAGGGCCGGGAGUACCAGUCGCGAGGUGGCUGGCUGCUGCUGCUGCCCAACUCGUUGGUGCUACCGCUGCUAGAGCGGACCGGUGGGCCCCCACUACCACUACCGCUACCACUGGCCGCCGCCGCCGCCGCCGCUGGAGGCACACGGAACAGGGAGCAGGAAAACGCUACUGCUGGCGAUGGACAGGAGGCCGUGGUGGAAGUGCAGUUGACGGUUUGGUUAGCGGAGCCGUCGUACAAACCCGCAUUCAGCUUUGUAGCACAGACGCUGGCACCAGUGGUGAGUGCAGAAAUAGAAUACAAUGCAGGUUGGGGAGACCUGGUGCCCUUCACUACUCGUUCUCGAUUUCCUGGUUAAUCCUCACCUCCUUUGGCAUCAGCUUCGCUCGUUCGUGGUUCGUCAUUCCCCCCGCAUCGUCUCCUUCAGUACUCACCUUCAGUGCUCUUUCCUUCCCUCGUGACAGUCCGGAAGCGGCUCGGACGUGGCGGGACAUACAUCGCAACGACAUCCGGAGCCUCUACGUUUCUGCCUCCCGGAGGUUCCGAUGGGGCGACUGGUGGCCAUGGCCGGAAACCUGGGGAAGACCUGGCAGGCACCACCACCACCGUCACGGCCACUACCACCACAGCAGCGCCGGCAGCUGUUGGUCCCGUUAGAAGUGCCGUACUUGACUAGCAGCACGUACGAUAACCGGGCCCCUAACCCUGUGGCGGGUAUCCUGCGAUGGUUGGGGCUGUACAAAUACACUGCAGUACGAAUAACUCGUCUGGACGCGGAUGGGCAACCGGUAGUUGAGCUUCAAAGAAGUGGGAGCAGCAGCGGUGGCAGAGCUUGGGCAGACGCCAGAAGAGCAGAUGGCGGUGGCAGCGGCGGUGGCCGCGGCGCCGUGCAGUGUUUCUUCCCGACUGUUGUUCUUGUCGGCGGCGGUAAUUGUUCCUCUGGCACCCGCAUGGCAAGUCUCUUACGGGUAAGUGGCUAGUCGGGUCGCCAAGUCGAAUCACAGGAAGUACAUGGUGCCUUAUGGUGCUCUGUUGACGAAUAUUUAUUAUACCUUAUGUCUACAAUUGAUUUUCCAAAAUAGAAAAACCAAUGCAGCUUAUAAGGCCCAAUAGAGACGGGUUGGACUUGAGAGCAGAUUCGACUGAGGGGACAUUACGCCGAAGAGCCGCAUGCAGUGUCUGGUUAGGAGGGGGAGUUCGAGGGCGAUGCACAGGAAGCGAAUGAUGGUAUCCGCGGCGGUAUCAAGUCGAUGCCAAACACAGAAGUCGCAUCAUGAUUGGGGUGACCCUUGCGGGCCCUUGGGGCCCCUGAUGCCCCUGAUGAGAAGGCCCACACUUAUUUUUUGGCUAUGAACCCACCAUACCGCCUAACCAAACCGCAUACACCAAACCCUUUGCAGAUCAGCACCAACCGCACCCUUCACAGCCUGGAGCCAUGCACGACCGACCCAUCAGGCUGUUCUUCCGUGACUGCGAUCCUGGAUCCAGCCUGCCAAUACAAACUGGACCUCGUGCCCUACAUGGUGGAGCGCCUGGGCCCCCUCCUGCUAGCCCACGUGGGGCACUUGUGGCUGUGGGCACAGCUGGCGGCGUUGAUGGCCGUGGCGGCGGCGGCGGAGGCAGUUUCGAGAUCGACGGCAGUGAUGGCAGCGAUUGCGAGGGAAGCACCAAGGCCUGUGGUGGCGGGGACAGUACCAAGCGGGCCGACUUCAGUAGUGAAGCGGUCGUCCUCGGAUUCCGUGAAGGAGCCGGCGGGAGGGCUAUCUUUGAGAGGCCGCUGGCGGUUUUGGAGCUGGAUCAUGAUCCCUUGGGAUGCUGUUGGCGUACUGCAGGUGCGAGAGCAAUGUGUGACUGCAGGAUCCGGAGGUGGCUGCAUAGUAAUGUGUAGGCUGAGGCGCUAUGCUGGGGUUGAACUGUGCAGGUCUGGUUGCCAGGGCAAGGCGGAGGGCGGUGGAGAAAGGGGAAGCCCCCUGGUCGGUGAUAGUGGUCAACUGCAAGCAAGUUCUCAGGAUGGAUACUGGGUCCUGUCGAUUGGCUUAUGUUGCCAUUACCGGCCUUGCCUUUUCACUUUUGCGCCAUCAGCCCGGGGCUCGCUGUUUGCAAUACUUGUGCUCCCUUGCGCUCGCUUUCCCCACUGUUGUUUUGUGCUCGCUUUCCCAUUUCCGUUCCCCCCUCAGGUGGGGCUGUUGCACCGCAGGGCCCCGGCACUGUUUCUGAUCACCGCUGCUGUGGCCACCGUCGCCACCUCGUUGCUGCUGCACACUCCCUCGUGGCCACAGCCGCAUCUGCCUUCCGAGCUGCCGCACAAACUGCAGCCAGCCAACAGUGCCGAUGACAACGGUUUUGGUGAGAUCUGGAACCUCAUCCAGCGCCUAAGCACCCUCACUUGGCCUGCCUUACGGAAGACGGCCCAAGUAGCCGGUCUGUGCCCGCAGCCACACCUGCACAACUGUGGCUGGUCCGCCUUGUCAUCACGAGGAAUAAUGGGCCUGGGACUGCUAGCCCCUCUUGCCGCAUCGCUGUCACAGCAGAUGCCACUGGGGUUGCAAGGUCUGCUGGCUCCGUUACUGCCGGAUCAGCCACUGGUGGUCCUUCCUGAGGCAGCUGCAGGCGAGUUCCUCUCCGUCUUGGACCGGCUGGCCCUGGCGGCCACCUCGACACUGCUGGUCUGGCUGAUAGCGGCAAUCCUGCAGGGUGCCAUUGCAGCGGUGGCGAUCCCGGCAGCCUGUGCUGCAGCCUGCUCAAAACUGCUCGUCUGGCUGCUGUACAGCAUUCUUUAUUGGCCGUUGAUGCUCGUCGGACGUCUGCAUCGCAUUAUAAAAGCGCCAUUGAUGUUCCUCCGACGGCUGGUGCUCUGGCCAAAGGACAGGAGUUGCAGCACUGCUGCUGCUGCCGCCACCACUGCUUGGGAGGCGGCGGUGCGCCGCAUGAUGAUAUUGCUAGUGCCGCUGGCGGCCCUCACAGUUCUGUCGGGAGCACCGUCAGCGAUCCCCAGUCUGGUGCUGUUGGUGUCCGUCCUCAACCUGGCCAUGUCCCUCAGUGUUGGCCAGGUCACACCCCAACCGGGGCCAGCAGCUGCUGCAUCGACAGCCAUCCAGCUGGAGUCGGCGGCUUCCUUGCAGCUGGCGGAGCGGCGCUGCUAUGUGGCGUGGCUGCUGUACUACGCCACGUACGGCACCUGUGCUGCACCGGCGGCUGCAGCGGCCCUGCGGUGUGUGGUGCGGCGGCCGGGUGCUGUGGUUGACCUGUUCUCUGCUGUAGCCGGGGUAAUAGCGUGGGUCCUGGAGCGGUGGUGGGAAGGUCAGGGCCCACAGAUGGUCCAGUCAGGUGUACGGGGGGCGCAUGAAUCAAUGGUAAGAACUGCAGUAGCAGCACAUCCGCAUCUCGUCAAGCUUCUCUCCAGGCCAGUGCAGGCGCUGGCGUGGGGCCUAGAGACGAUGUAUAAAGGGAGGGGCAUUGAAGUGCUCCAUGAUGCACUGCAUGGGCCAAUGAGCACAGCGGCACCGGCCGUGGUAGCAUGGCCUCUCUCAGUUGGAGCAGCGGGGUAUGUCUUGGCAGCUGCACAUUGCAUGCUAUUAGCUUCGCAGGCUGCAGCCGGCAGGUGGGCAGGGCAUGAACCCCGGAGACUGUGUGCAAUCAGUCCGGUGGCAUCAGUGCCAGCAGUGGCUGGCUGCUGGCUGUUGGCUCUUGGCUGGUGGCUGGGUUCAGUGGAUGCCGCGCAUGUGACGGUGGGGUCGAUGGCGGCGGCACAUUUCAUGCUGCUUUUGAUGGGUUGGUGAUUGGGUUGGUGGGAUGUUGUAGUAGCUGGUACACAGUACAGCACACAUAACGUCUACAAAUACGCGCUCAGUUCUCCACCAGCAUCUCGAGAGGCCAUAAUACCUUCUAUAAAAAGUCAUGCUACCUUCUAAAGCCCUGCAUUGAGCCUCAACAUGCAUUACCAUCCCCAGCCAGCACACCCACACAUUACUUGAGCAGAAAAAAAUGGUCAAUUUAGAGCAUCAAAUCAUAGUAUUCCAAAAAUCAAGUUUUGCCAUAGCAGCUUAUAUCUUAAAAUUAAUAUUUUAACUUUAGCAUAAAAAGUUUUAUUAAUUUCAAGUAUCCUUAUUUCAGAAAAAUACUUGUGGACAAAUGAUCCUGAGUUACACGUGAUCCCUCUCUUUAAAUGUUACGGGGUGGUAUAGCUUCACCAGCGGCCCCCUUUCCCGAGGCAUUUCCCUGCUCUCCCCUGCUAGAGGGGCACCCUAAUCCGUUCACCCCAUCCGACUUGAGAAUGUAUUCGUUGGGUUCAGCAACUCACCACCCGCAUUCAACCAAAUCUAGCGGAUCAACGGCACCUCAACUUAGUUCCUGGUCAGCUCAUAAGUUAAUAUUAUCACGUCCUACAUCGUCCUUAAGAUUGGGGGCCACCUCCCAUUUCAGCACAUCUCGCACACCCGAGAGGUCGGCAGGCAGUUUUGAACCCGGACAUUGCGGGAGCAGAAGUCAGGCCGUAAUCUCUGCCAGCCGCCUUAACCUCUGCCAGCCGCCAGCCGCCUCCCCCCGUAUGACACCAGCCAUUGUGUGCAUCGGAUCAUAAUGUAGGCCUUGCUCAAUGCUGAAGCUAUCCAAGUCCAAAGGUGCACAGUGGUGUGGGCGCUGCCAGGAGGGUGGGGAAGGGGUCCUUGAUUCCAUUGUGAGCACCAGCGCUUCCAACAUGCACUCGUGGAACGCCACCAUACCUUCUUAAUAUCAUCUUAAUAUCAUCUUAGUGCUACCCACUUCAUAUGUUCUUCAUAGCUACUUGGUAACAUUCUUAAUAGGCCGCUUAGUAGGUCACUUAGCACCAUACUAACUGCCCUCGAAGCGCUUAGUACUGAAUACCAAGUCCUCCAAACAAAUAUGAAGUAACAUUUAUCAAGAACUUCAAUAUUAUACCAAUCACUGGGUACUUAAGUAUUUACGAAGUACUGUAAACAAAUACACAUGUACUGUGUACACAGUACACAUGUAAGAAGUAUGAUGUGUGAAACAGGGGGGUGUAUCUUCGCCCGUGGCAGCAGCUACCCUGCGAAACCCUGCCUUCCCCGGUAUUUCGGGGCACCCUCAUCCAGUCACCCUAGUCAACUUCUCAGUGGAUCGCUCAGGUUCCGCACCCACCACCAGCAUCCAACGGAAUCUGCCGGGUCGACAGCGGCCCAACUCCAUUCCUGGUCGGCUCGCAACUUUAUCCCAGGUCACCACCGUCUAUCAACCAGGGGCGCAAUGCCUUCCACCAUCGGAAGGACUUUUGACCCUAAUUGGUAUCGAUCCCGGGAUCCCGAGGGCAAUGGUCGCGCCUUACCAGUAGUGCCAAACCCUAGCAAGAAAUAUGUAGCAUAGACUAUCAAGUACUUCAUAAAUGUCAACACUACACCAGCUACUGACAUACUAAGGUGCUGAUCCGACUGCUGUCAGACACACUAUCCUAAAAGCACUCGUGUUCACACAAUAACAUGGAUAGUCGGUCGCUAUGGUCAGCCUGCACCUGGUGUCAUCCUAUACCCACACAUCUUUUACCUUUAGAAGAUCUCAACACUGGGCAGCACCUUUGCCCGCGCCCUCGGCCCUCCACCAUUUUCACCCGGCCCCACAUCCUCCACCACUGCCGGCAGAGGCACCUCCCACCACCCGCCCAGAGCCAACCCCACUGCCCCCUGGCAUUCUAGAUGACUGCAAUCAGUGCCACCCUAUGCUACUUAUAGAAAUCCGGUUCAGGGACAGUGCCAACUGCAUACAACACCACCAUGCUAGUGGUGAGGCAGUACUCAGUGUAUAUAUGUACUCAGUAUAUAAUUAUACACCUUAUACACCCACCGACAAGGCAACAAACGUGUACCAGGAAGAGGCUUCUUGAGCUGAGUUGGCCAGCUCGGCGGCAAUCUCCUCAUCCAUCACGUGCCGCCAGUCGCCUGCAUGUGGACCUGAGGUGGCCUUGGCAUACGAGUAAGGCUCAGUAAAUCCAGCAGAAGUUGCAGCAUUGAUUGACUCAGCCAGUAACAGUACGACCGGAUUCGUCCAGAAUUCAAUUCAAAAUUCAACUCAACAAGGAUGUUUGCCUUCCUUAACUUUCGGAUGCGAACACUGUCAGUCAGGUGUUGAAGGGGCUGCGAUCUUCCUACAAGCUGGGCACCGAGUUCUCAACAUUUUUUUGGGCGAGGCCCCGGGCGCGAAGCGCCAUUCGGGGGGCCGAGCCCCCCGGGUUCACUGCUGUCAGUCAGUCAGUCAGUCAGUCAGUCAGUCAGUCAGUCAGUCAGUGGCUUACAUAUCUCGCCCCGCAAAAAAUAGCGUUUGAAUGCUAUAUCCAUUCUAUAACGAAAUGCCAAAGGAGACAUUCCAGAUAAAUCGGAGCGCGAAGAUAGCUUUCCAUGGCUCCGAGUUAAACAUAAAGUUACAUAUCUCGCUCCGCAAAAGAUUAAAUGUAGAAGCUAUAUCCAUUCUACAUCCACCUGCCAAAGGAGAAAUUCCAGAUAAAUCGGAGCGCGAAGAUAGCUUUACAUGGCUCCGAGUUUGACAUAAAGUUACAUAUCUCGCUCCGCAGAAGAUUGAAUGUAGAAGCUAUAUCCAUUCUAUAUCGAAAUGCCAAAGGAGACAUUCCAGAUGAAUCGGAGCGCGACAAAGAUAGCUUUCCUGUAAGUGGCUGCACCGGGGCCGAGCCCCUUUUCGGCUUUGAAAAGCCGCCCCCCUAGUCCAUCAGAUUUAGCUCCCUUGGCAUCUCCCUGAGUAUUAUUUGCCUGGUGUUAUGAUGUUUUUACAGGGUGGUAUAGCUUCACCAGCGGCCCCCUUUCCCGAGGCAUUUCCCUGCUCUCCCCUGCGAGAGGGGCACCCUAAUCCAUUCACCCAUCCGACUUGAGAAUGUAUUCGUUGGGUUCAGCAACUCACCACCAGCAUCAAACUAAAACUAGAGGAUCAACGGCGCCUCAACUUAGUUCCUGGUCAGCUCACAAAUUGCUAUAAUCACGUCCUACACCGUCCACAAGAUGGGGGGCCACUUCCAAAUCCGACACCCCUCACACACCGAGGGGGCGGCAGGCGAAUUUGAACCUGGACCCUCCGGGAGCAAAAGUGGCCUUUACUUCUGUCUUAUACAGAUGCUACUCCAAUGACUUAAGUUCUUCCGUAACAUCUAUAUCGUGCCCAGUAUCUUCGCCGGCAUUCCCUUUAGUAACAGUCAGCACCAGCUGCCACCACUGUCGAUUCUUCAACAGGUUAUGAGCCUUGGCAACUAUUCCUCGAUUGGUUAUUUCUUUUCCUAAUCAACAAUGGUGAAGGACAAACCUGAUGAGCCGCUGGACCUCCACAACUCUUCAACGUGGCAAAUUCGGUUUAGCGCGAUGUGCAUGGAGCUUGGGCUUGAGCAGACUUUGCACAACAAGCCGUGCAACGAGGAGCAUAUUCGACAAUCACGGAAGGUCAUCAAUUUGCUGAUUAAGGACGUGAAGGACCUUCAUCUGCUGAUGGUCACAGGUGCCGUAAAUGCAAAGGAGGCUUGGGAUGCCUUGGGCUCGAUGUUCACUGCAAACAACAACGCCCGCAAGGUGGCUCUACGCCAAGAAUUCAGCCAUGUUAAGAUGGUCGACGGCGAGCCACUUCCGAAGUACUUUGCGUGUGCGAGGCAGCUUCAAAUUGACUUAUUGGGAGUCGGCCACAUGAUUAGUGACUCCGAGCUGGCAUAUAUUGUACUUGUUGGUCUACCCAGUCGGUACAGCGUGGUUAGCAUCAUGGUUAUGAUGGCGAUUUGGACAUGGCGAGCAUCACCUCAAAGCUUCUGGCUAUCGAGACGGCUAACGGUGGGUAGGGCAAGCCUACCGAGCUGACAGCUUUUGUGACUGUCGGCAGUUCGAUGUUCUGUGUUUCGAGUUUUGGUUAUGGCAGCCAGGGGCCGGCUAGCAACAGCUUGGGAAACAGUCGGAAGCAGAUCGUCUGCUACUACUGCAACAAGGCUGGGCACGCAUCAAGGACUGCAGGCAGCUUAAAGUGCUGAAGCAGUUGUCCAUUUCCGGCAAUAGUAAAAGUAAGGGUGGUGGCAGCAGUGGCGGCAGUGGUGCUAGCAGCAGUAAGUCUGGUUCAGGAGGAUCAGCCAGGGGACCAGGAGUCCCAAGGCAGGUCACAUUCAUGGCUUACAAUGGUGAGCGUCCGAAGGGAUGGUUUCUGGACUCAGCAUCAACACAUCACAUCACCUACCACUGCUCUGAGUUGCUUAACAUGCACUUGUUGGAGCUGUGGGAGUGCUUCAACAUCAUGGGCAUCAAGGGUCAAGCUUUGCAUCCAACGGUGGUCGGCUCACUCAUUAUUUGGUCAAACAUCAACUACAAAAAGGCCAUUUUUUUCAAGAAGGACUACAUCAACGAGGAGUCAAGGUCUUGUCAGUUCACAUCAUCGAUGAUCAUGGUGGUAGUGUUGUCUUCAGUGGCAGACGUGUUGUACACCUUAACCUAUAGGCACCGUGAUCAUUGUGUUGAGGUAAUGGUCCUCUCCCAACUCGUGUGGUUGUCGACCAGGGGAUUUGGCCCCGGGUCUGUGACUGACUAUUGGGGGAGACUUACCCCAGAACUUUAUGGGACUACCGAUGCAUAUCCGGUAGCUAAGUGAUAGACAUUUGGCCAGGGCAACCGCCUGGGUAUGCAUCCAGAUAGUGUUGUCGCAGCAUAGGUAUAUUGCGCAGCUGUUGGAGCGUCAUAGGAUGAUUGACGCCAAGCCGAGGUCUACCCCUUUGCCUCCGGGCUUUAGGUACACUCCUAAGGGGGACGGAGAGGAGCUGCUGGGCAAUCCCACCGAGUAUAGGGCUUUGGUGGGAGAAUUGAACUAUCUGGCGACGAACACGCGGCCUGACAUUUCAUAUGCAUUGAGCGUUUUGUCCCGGCAUAUGGCCGCACCCACGAAGACUGCCAUGAACUUAGCAACUGGCGUUCUGCGUUACCUGGCGGGGACUCGCGAACUAGGAUUGCGUUUUGGGGGUGUUGGCGACGUUGCUAUGUCCGGGUACAGUGAUUCUGACUGGGCAGGAGACCCAGUUACGCGGCGUUCUACGUCCGGUUACGUAUUCACUCUUAAUGGGGCUGCGAUUAGCUGGAGCAGCCAACUUCAACGUACUGUGGCGGCUUCGUCGGUGGAGGCUGAGUACCAAGCUACAGCGGCGGCUGUUCGUGAGGCUUUGUGGCUUCGCAAGCUGAUGGUUGAUUUGAGCUUGCCUGAGAGCGCGGUGAAAAUCCAGAUAGACUCCCAGGGGGCGCUUAGCUUGGGAAACAACCCGAUUACGUCUGCUCGGUCGAAGCACAUCGACGUGCAGCAUCACAUAGUGCGUGAGAGGGUGAAUAGCGGUGAGGUGCAGUUGGAAUAUUGCCCUACGGAGUGGAUGGUUGCGGAUGUACUAACGAAGGCUCUGGGCGAGGUGAAGUUCAAACGUUGCCAAGAUGCUAUGGGCCUUGUGUGAAGUGUGCAGGUGAACUUGGUACUCGUUGGGAUACGGCCCGAGGGGGCGUGUUGAGGAAACGGUCCUCUCCCAACUCGUGUGGUUGUCGACCAGGGGAUUUGACCCCGGGUCUGCGCCUGACUAAUGGGGAAGACUUACCCCAGAACCUUAUAGGGCUACCGAUGCAUAUCCGGUAGCUAAGUGAUAGACAUUAGGGCACCGUCUGGACGGCGCAGUGAGAUCGCGGAAUGUACGUGCAGUUAGAUCGCGGAAUGUAUGAGUUUUCCGCUAGCGCCGGUAUUUAGGGCGGUGACAGCGCCUAUUAGUUUAUCUCACAACGAUCGGUAUUCCUACCAGGAAUCUCCUCAAGUCCUGCCGAACGCUUAUAAUACUCUUUACAUAACUUGUAACGUUUUAUCGUGCUAAAUAUCUUCGCCGCCGGCAAUUCUUCCGAGAUAACAAUCAGCGUUAGCCGUCACCGUCGCCAAUUCUCCAAUAAACACGACCAGUGACAGUGCGACCAGGUUCGUUUCGCUACCAUUCGCCAGGGCGUUUACACUCUCUAACUGGGUACCUAGUUCCCGCCAUUUCCACAUCAGGCUGAUUGAUUCCUUGCCCGUUCGCACUGCUGGAAGGUCCAGCCCCAGCCGGCGCCCCCUCGCCACCCAAAUAAGGCGAUCCUUCGCCGACAGUAUUGCCUGAUGUUCCUUCGCCAGCCCUAGGCAGCGACCCCUCACCAGGCAAGUUAGUGUGAACAUCCUCCUCCUCAUCGGCAUCGGACCCAUAAUCGGAGUCCCCGGCAUCAUGCCGCCGGCCGACAUUAGACUCAUCAAAGCGGACGUUAGAAACUACGGCAAUAAUGCCAUCCUCGUACAGCACACGGUACUGUCCUCCGUUCCCGUAUCCGACAAGUAUUCCACGCCUGCUCACCGGAUCGGACUUGUCGCGUUUGACGUCAGGUACAUGGACGUAGGCGACGCACCCCAAAAACUCGAAGAUGACCGACGUUAGGACGGACGUUGAAGAAAGCUUCAUACGGCGUGACAGUUGACCCAGCAGUUGGCGACACAUUCCUGAUGUAAUUGGCUGUCGCCAACACUUCCGCCCAUAAUGACUUAGGUAGACCGGACUCCACAAGCAUAGCCUUGGUUUUGUCUAGGAGAGUGCGAUUCAAACGUUCCGCAGCUCCGUUCUGCUCAGGGGUGUAGCCUACCGUAGUUCCGUGUACAAUACCCCUGGACGCGAAAAAGCCCUUCGUGCGAGUAUUAAUGAACUCCCCGCCACGAUCCGUACGCACCUCCUUAACCUGCCUGCCAGAAGCGCGCUCCAGUUCCGCUAUCAUUACCACCAUCUUCUGAUAGACCUCCUCCUUGGUUGCUGUAAACGCAACAGCUGAAAGACCAGUAUGGUCGUCAAGCAGAGUUGUCACGCAACGUGAACCACGAGGCGAAGGUUUUGGCAUAGUCCACACACAUCCAGUCCACACACAUCCAUGUGGAUUAAUGCUAGUGGCUGUGCUGCUUUAUGCCCUGUUAGCGGAAAAGGACCACGUGUAUGCUUUGCAAGAACGCAAGUCUCACACACACACGCGCUGGCUGAUUGUAUGCUGUGUCGGUCAAUAUCGAACCCAGUUACCAUAUUAUGACGCAGCAACGCCUCAAGGUUGCUGUAUCCCAAGUUGCCAUACCGUCGGUGCCAAAGUGCUGCACGUUCAGCUCCGAUACCCACGGCAGCACACACUGCAUCACCACCAGAAGGUAUCCUGUUGAUGUUGAUGUUGUUACAGGGUGGUUAAGCUUCACCAGUGGCCUCCUUCCCGAGGCAAUUCCCUGCUCUCCCCUGCAAGAGGGGCACCCAAAGCCAUUCACCCCAUCCGACUUCAGAGUGUACUCUUUGAGUUUGGCAACUCACCACCAGCAUCCAACCAAACCUAGCGGAUCAACGGCGUGUCAACUUAGUUCCUGGUCAGCUCGCGAGUUGAUUUUAUCACGUCCUAUACCGUCCACAAGAUGGGGGGCCACCUCCCAUUUCAUCACCUCUCAAACACCCCGAGAGGUCGGCAGGCGGAUUUGAACCCGGACGCGCCGGGACGUGACGGGAGCAGAAGCCAGACCUUAACCUCUGCCAGCCGCCUGCCUGAUGUUGUAUGCUACGAACGCUACCUGACGCGGAACACCUUGCCCCCUAGCUGAUUCACCGGAUCCUGGCUUGCUGCCGCUAGCUACGCUGCCACUAGCUCCGUUGCCACUGUUGCUGUAGCCACCCUUAUAUCCAGAUUUUGACGACUGCUUGAGCGCUUUAAGCUGCCUGCAGUCCUUUACCACGUGCCCAUGUUGAGGAAACGGUCUUCUCCCAACUCGUGUGGUUGUCGACCAGGGGAUUUGACCCCAGGUCUGUGCCUGACUAAUGGGGAAGACUUACCCCCAGAACUUUAAAGGGCUACCGAUGCAUAUCCGGUAGCUAAGUAAUAGACAUUUGGGCACCGUCAGGACGGCGCAGAGAGAUCGCGGAAUGUACGUGCAGUUAGAUCGCGGAAUGUACGAGUUUUCCGAUAGCGCCGGUAUUUAGGGCGGUGACUGCGCUUAUUUGUUUAUCUCACAACGAUCGGUAUUCCUCAAAGGAAUCUCCUCAAGUCCUGCCUAACGCAAUUUACAGUUUUUUACAUUACUUGAAAUGUUACAGAGUGGGAGGCUUCUGGGCCGCUUUACCACAUUGUCAGUUCUACGAUCAUUUAUCACCUUAUAGCACCAUCCACCACUACCACACUGUCUUCGCCAUACGAACUGUAAGUCCAAGGCGGCGGAUCCAGCCUUCAGAGACCCGUCCUCAUCCAUUCACCCGGAGGGUUCGGCAAUCGCCACCAAUCCAGCGUGCGAAUCUGGUCCAUCAACUGUGACCUCAACUCCACAUCUCAGCAGCUAGCCAUAAUCUCGCGCUCCCGACAAAUUCGGGGAUCUCCCCAGGAAUCGAACCCUAAGAUAUUGAACACGAUAAACUGAUACAAGUAAUGUAAGAAGUAGUAUUAUGCGUUAGGCAGGACUUUAGGAGAUUCCUUUGAGGAAUACCGAUCGUUGUGAGAUAAACAAAUAAGCAAACAUCUAUGUGAACUAGUGCUAGUGGCUGAGCUGCUUUGUGUCCUGUUAACGGAAAAGGACCUCGUGUCUGUUUUGCAUAAACGCAGGUCUCACAAACACCCGUGCUGGCUUUUUGGAAACUGUGCUGGUCGACGUCAAAUCCCAUUACCAUAUUGUGCGCAGCAACACCUCGAGGUUGCUGUAGCCAAGAUGUCCGUAACACCGAUGCCAAAGUGUUGCACGCUCCGUCUUGGAAUUCACAGCGGUGCACGUUGUACCAUGUCCGUUGUCACAGUAGCUCGUAUUCUGCGUCCUCCUGAUGGUGCCUGUACUUCCACCUCGAUAGCAAAUGGGGUAGAGAUCACCGUCCCGUUCACCGGUCAACACUAAAUGAUUUUGCAAGUAUACCUGUACUUGACCGUCACCGAAGACGACGCUACCUCCGCGAUCGUCGAUGAUACGGACGGACAAAAUCUUUACCAUCGCCUCCUCGUCAACGUAGACCCUUUUAAAUGUGAUGGCUUGAUUGUCGUUGACAUUAGAUCGAAUGGUAAGCGAUCCAACCUCCGUCGGACGCAGUGAUUGACCCUUAAUGCCCACAAUGCUGAAGCGUUCCCAAGGCCCCAACACACGUGCAUUGUGUAGUUCGGAUCGGUCGUAAGUGACGGGGUGAGUAGAUGCUGAGUCCAGAAACCAUUCCGUCGGACGCUCGCUGUUGUAUGCCACGAACGCUACCUGCCGCGGAACUCCUGGCCCCCUAGCUGAUCCACCGGAUCCUGGAUUGCUGCCGCUAGCUCCGCUGCCACUGUUGUUGUAGCCACCCUUAUUGACGACUGCUUGAGCGCUUUAAGCUGCCUGCCGUCCUUUACCACUUGCCCAGGCUUAUUACAGUAGUAGCAGAUGAGUUGUUUCCGACUGUGUCCCGAGCUGCUGCUAGCCGGCCCCCGGCUGCCAUAACCAGAAUUAGAAGCGCCGAAAGUCGAACCGCCGAGAGACGUGAAGGCUGCCGACUCGGUAGGCUUGUCCGACCUACCGUUAGCCGUCUCGAUAGCGAGAAGCUUUGCUGUGACGCUCGCCAUGUCCAAAUCGCCGUCACGCAUCAGUAGUGUUGUCGUCACCACGCUGUACCGAUUGGGUAGACCAACUAAGACGGUAUACGCCAGCUCGGAGUCGUUGAUUACGUGGCCGAAACCCAACAAGUCCGUUUGCAGCUGCCUCGCACGUGCAUAUACUUCGAAAGUGGCUCACAGUCAACCAUCUUGAAGCGGCUGAAUUCUUGGCGUAGAGCCACCUUGCGGGCGUUGUUGUUGGCAGCGAACAUCAAGUUCAAGGCAUCCCAAGUCUUCGCGUUGGCUGCACCGGUGACCAUCGGCAAAUGGUGAUCCUUAACGUUCUUGAUAAGCAGAUUGAUGACCUUCCGUGAUUGAUGAAUCUGCUCCUCGUUGCACGGCUCGGCGAGCAAAGACUGCUCAAGCCGAAGCUCCAUGCACAUCGCACUAAACCGUCGGUGUUACGGACAUUUGGGCUACAGCAACCUCGAGGCGUUGCUGCACCACAAUAUGGUAAUGGGAUUUGACGUCGUCCAGCACAGCUUUCAGAAAGCGAGUACGUGUGUUUGUGAGACCUGCGUUUUUGCAAAACAGACACGAGGUCCUUUUCCGCUGACAGGGCACAAGGCAGCCCAGCCACUAGCAUUAGUUCACAUGGAUGCGUGUGGACCUAUGCCUGAACCUUCGCCUAGUGGUUCUCGCUACGUGACAACUCUGCUUGACGUCCAUACCGGUCUUUCAGCAGUUGCGUUUACAGCGACCAAGGAGGAGGUCUAUCUGAAGAUGGUGGUAAUGAUAGCGGACCUGGAGCGCGCUUCUGGCAGGCAGGUUAAGGAGGUUCGUACGGAUCGUGGCGGGGAGUUCAUUAAUACUCGCACGAAGGGCUAUUUCGCGUCCAGGGGUAUUGUUCAUGGAACUACGGUAGGCUACACCCCUGAGCAGAACGGAGCAGCGGAACGUUUGAAUCGCAAGACACAAGUUAUGCAAGUCUUGGUAUCUCAUCUUAGGAUGGAUCGGUAUUCCUUAACAGGAAUCUCCUAAAGUCUUCUUUCCGUUCACCAUUAACCCACAGACUUUAACCCUUAUGUCGCGACCAGUCUCCUUGCGUUCAUAUUCUUAACAGGGAUCGCUGCCUAGGGCUGGCGAAGGGAUACCAGGUAGCACCGUCCGCGAGGGAUCGCCGCACUUGGGUGGCGAGGGGGCGCCGGCUGGGGCUGAACCAUCCAGCAGUGUAUUGAAGAAUCGACUGCGGUGGCAGCUGGCGGCGACUGUUAUUUCGGAAAGGAAUACCGGCGUGUUCGUCGCCAGAUAGUUCAAUCCUCCCACCAAAGCCCUAUACUCCGUGGGAUUGCCCAGCAGCUCCUCUCCGUCCCCCUUAGGAGUGUACCUAAAGCCCGGAGGGUAGAUCUCGGCUUGGCGUCAACCAUCCUAUGACGCUCCAACAGCUGCUCAAUGUACCUAUGCUGCGACAACACUAACUCACCCGACUUCUCCCUCCUAAUCUCCAUGCCCCCAAACACCUUCGCUUCUCCAAGGUCACGCACCCUUAAGACCUUCACAAUUGCGGCUUUAAUUUCCCGGACCAUUUCCGGGUCUUCUGACGCAACAAUGGGGUCAUCUACGUGCACCAAAGCAAUCCCCACGCUCGUCCAUAAUAAUGAACAUCGCCGGAUCAGACUUCGAAGGAUAAAGACCCAGCUUGGCGAACUCUGCUGAUAUCUUUUCAUACCAGCAACGGGGUGCCUGCUUCAAACCGUAAAUAGACCUCUGCAGCUUGCACGCAAGCGACCGGUCACUGGAUACAUACCCAGGUGGUUGCUGUAUCCACAACUCCUCCUUCAACUCGCUGUUCAAAAAUGCAGUAGACACAUCGAGCUGGUGUACCGUCAUGUUCCGCGCUGCGGCAACUGCUAAUAAAGCACGUAAUGACGAACCGAGGUAGGGGCAAACAACUCCCCAUAAUCAAUCCCCUCGCGUUGCUCGAAACCCUUCGCAACCAAUCGCGCCUUAAAACGCUCCACGCUGCCGUCAUCGUUGUACUUAACCUUAUACACCCAACGACACGGCAAUAAAUGAGUACCAGGAGGUGGCGUCUUCAGCUCCCAAGUACUGUUAGCCAUCUGGGCGGCGAUCUCCUCGUCCAUCGCACGCCGCCAAUCGUCUGCAUGAAGACUUGCAAUGGCUUCCGCAAACGAAUUCGGUUCAGGAAUAACAGCAGAGAAAGUAGCAUUAACGACCAGUAACAGUGCGACCAGGUUCCGCCACCAUUCGCCAGGGCGUUUACGUUCUCUAACUGGAUACCUAGUUCCCGCCAUUUCCACAUCAGGCUAAUUACUUCCUUGCCCGUUCGCACUGCUGGAAGGUCCAGCCCCAGCCGGCGCCCCCUCGCCACCCAAAUGCGGCGAUCCCUCGCCGACAGUAUUGCCUGAUGUUGUUGAGGAAACGGUCCUCUCCCAACUCGUGUGGUUGUCGACCAGGGGAUUUGACCCCGGGUCUGCGCCUGACUAAUGGGGAAGACUUACCCCAGAACCUUAUAGGGCUACCGAUGCAUAUCCGGUAGCUAAGUGAUAGACAUUAGGGCACCGUCUGGACGGCGCAGUGAGAUCGCGGAAUGUACGUGCAGUUAGAUCGCGGAAUGUACGAGUUUUCCGCUAGCGCCGGUAUUUAGGGCGGUGACAGCGCCUAUUAGUUUAUCUCACAACGAUCGGUAUUCCUACCAGGAAUCUCCUCAAGUCCUGCCGAACGCUAACAAUAUUCUUUACAUUACUUGUAACAGUUUAUCGUGCUAAAUAUCUUCGCCACCGGCCCUCCCCCCCCUCCCGGAGUGCCUAUGCCCCGGAGUGGAAGUUGGCUAACGAACUACGGCGAGGCCAGGAACACCAAUUGAGUUAAUUAUUGCUUUUCUUUAUAGCUUAAAUUUUGCACAAAGCGGUCAUACUUUGGUAGAUGGAAACUGCGACUGCCGGACAGAGGUCACACAUUUACAUAAUGCCAAAUGAACGGACUACAGAAACUGCAUAGCUAAAGAAAAGUUAUUGCUUUAACUAGUUUAGCAAAGAGCUUAACUAGUUUAGCAAGAGCGCGGGCACCUCCGAUUUCGACCUCAGGUUGGCCGAUGAUGAUGACAGGACUUCUCGCUUUGUACCCAUCCAAAAGCACCGAAACGCAUAGGAUUGUUGUGGAAUCUAGCACAUGCAAGACAUUGCGUGGUCGACGUUAAGGGGGCGCAUGAUGCCCCGGCAGCGCUUUCUGGGCCUCCAGGAGCCCCAAAACGGAUUGUCUAGGAUCGAUCCAUUGCAGAUAGAUCGUAGGCGCUGGUCUGACGGUCAUAGGGCUCAUAGCAGCUGGAUGGCUUUCAGACUGCCGGUCAUGGGAACCCGGGAGGCGUGCUGUUGGUGCGGGGCAAACCAGGGCUGUCGGGUGACCGGCGGACAUGGAUGGGUGCACCACCAAUUGAUAUACACACAGGGACGUAUUCUAAUCGGGGCGCUCGGCGGUACUCCGCCUGGAGCAAGCAGGUUCAACUCCUGCCGUCCUGUUCCUUUCAUCAUCCUCCCACAAAGAGUCCCGGGGACCAGUCGGGUGGUUAUGACGAUGCGGUGGCGGCUGCGGUGGUGGCGGUGGCCGCUGGCUAUCACGGUGCGCCCGUCACCGCUGCGGCAGCGGCAGCAGCGACGACCAGCCUGGUGGCGCAGUGCAGCAGUGCGGGCCCCGGGUGGGGCUUGUACGGGAGGGGAUAUGGCGGGGACCAGUCGGGUAGCUACUAAGGUGGCCAUGGGGGUUUUACGACCAGUGACAUGCAUGGCCUGGGACUGCAGCUACCAGCUACAUGGCGGGGUGACGAGUGGGGCGCUCUUGUUUGGUGGGCGAAACCCUGGAAGGGGUGCACAACGCACAGCAGGUCCCGGGUUACGGCAGUGGAUCUCAGGAUCGAGGUGUAGUGGUGACGGGAUCAGCAAUGUUGCCAGUGUCGGCAAUGUCUCCGAGUGGGGAUGUGGGCACGGAGGGGGGCGUAGGUGACACGUCCACAGCGGAUUGGACAGGCGGGCUUUACUAAAAUCAUAAUUGGAUACGGUGGGAGGGUGGUGAGCAUGCCGAUUGAAGCGGAGGCAUGAGGACGACGGGCAGUGCUGGCUGACAUUUACACAACACCGGUGCCAGCGGAACAAUGUAUGUGGGAUGUGGCGGUUGGAAAAAAGGAGUAGGCUCAUGGCGGCUGCAAUGAAACAAAGGACAUGCGGACCCAGGCUGGGGACCUCCUGGCGGAGAAAGGCCCAAGACACGCUGUAACGGAUUUUUUGGGUUUGCGCAACUUUGGGAGAAGAGAAAACAGGCGGGGCCUUCAGGCGUGGUUCAGUAGAGGGGGAUUCCCCCGGCUGCCGCCGCACACAUCACGAGCCAGGAUAGGUGUGCCAAGACCUCAAGCGGGGCUUACAAGGUGGGGGGACCAUUGGGGGGUUGGUCGGCCUAUGGGUCCACGGUAAUCAUAAUUCACUCAUGGCUCUCCAUGGCAAACGUGUAGGCCCGUGAGCUUAGCCAUUUGCCUCAUGCGAAUCAACGAACAGGCUGUAAUCCUGCGACUGCUCGCCUCUCUUUCACUCUACAAAGCGGCUCUUNNNNNNNNNNNNNNNNNNNNNNNNNNNNNNNNNNNNNNNNNNNNNNNNNNUGCCCGCAGAGCUGGAUGUGCUGUACUGAGGACACAAGUAUUGCCGUAAUGUGCACGCGGAAACCAUUUCUAGUGCCUCUGUUCACCUGCGGUUGCCGGCACUUAUCAGCCAGAUGUGACUAUGUACCAGUCGAUGACGCUGGAUUAGCGUUUUGCCGUCGAAGGCCUUGGAAAUGAUGGCAACUUCAUACGCUGCGCCGCAGCUGUAUGAGGGCAUAUAGCACCCACCCGGGUGAGCGAUGGGGGGUAGCAUGGUAGUUUUUUUUUCAGUUGGGUGCGCGGGGAACCAACAUGUAAUAAUGAUGGCUGUCGUACACCUGCUAACCCCUAUCCCUAAGAUUGUGGGGUAUUUCUUGAAGCAGCUAUUCGGGGGCUGUGUCAUCAUGUGGCUUAGUGAAUCGGUGAUGCACUCUGCGGUUGAGAAGUCGGUAUGAUGGCCAAGUGCUGAACCCUAAAAAGCUACUGAGCUCGCAGUGGAUGAGAAGGAUGAGGUCACUGCCAGGCUAGUGGUCACCGGUGAAGCUAUUCUACCAUAUCCCAAACAAUAACAGGUCGAUAUGGGAUGUAAGAAGAACAUUUUGUACAUUCAGUUCAUAAGUGCACCAAAGGGUAGGGUGAUACUCAUCUUUUUUUUCGUUUGAUGUUUCCUUGAACCUGCUUUCCCAAACCUAAUUAUAAUCUAAUCCAGUCUAGUACACUUGAGUAAAAUGCUACUGCCUUUGACUUCUACCGCUACCCUUUGCUCCACGAGCCAACGCGUGGUCUACAACCAUGAAAACCACGAAUUGCAGAUCAGUUUGCACCCAAUUACCCAGAUUCUGCCACCUGACUGUCCUUCAUGGCCACCUUCCAGCCAGAGAUGCCAACCCCAGCGAACACGGCGGCUCCACGCAUUCCCAACAGCACUCAGGCGAUGGCCAUGAUCCUAAAGCGGGACGGAUGGCAGAUACCGGGCGGCACAACAAUCGUCCCGCUUAUGCACCUAACGGUCCGCCUAGCGACACAGCUGCAAUGCGGGGCCACGGAGGAGAAACGGGGAUGCUUGAUGGCAGCAUUUUUGUGGACCCGCAGGAAACGGUACCUUCAUCCUCGGCGGAAAUUAGCUGCUUCAGGGCCUGCUUGUGGUCUGGGGUGCGGUUGGAGAACGCAAACAAAUAAACGCUGUGGCGGCUUGGCCGUGGACGGCAUCCCCCUGCCCGGCAACACGCACCUGGCUCGCAUGGUGCCCAAGCGGUGUGGGUGCGGAAGGUUCGGCAAUGCCAGCAACCAGCAAUGCUCCCCACGCAUGAACCACUUCUGGGAGUGCCCCGUCGCACAGGCUGUCCAUUGAUCGACACCCCCAGGAGGCCGCGACAGGCGGCAUCACCCGGAAGCAGCUGUGGUUGGUCCAGGCCCCGACCGGCUGCGAACAGGCCCCCUGGGAUGUGAUCGCCCUGGCGGCCCUGUCUGCUAUAGAGGUAGGCAGGUGCUGCCUGCGAGCAGCCGGAGGACGGCUGGAAAGGGCGGCUAACCCCGCGACGCAACGGCCAGAGCAAGUGCAACAGAUCCAGGCGCAAGGACCCCAACAGCGGCGGAUAACGGACUUCUCCCACCUGGGCAAUGGAGCGAGACCGCAGGAGGGCCCGUUGCUGAACGCGCCGGUACUCGAGGAUCAAACGCAGGGGCAAGUGUUUUGCGCGUUCAAUGCUUGCCAAGCAGUGAAAGCUGGGGCAUUGAUUAUUAGCGUCUUAUAAAUUAUAUACAUAAGGAUGUUUUGUAACUUUGGACCAUCAUUUCCAUGGCCAUCUGCUGGGCGUCCGCUGGAACGGUCAGGAUGUACGGCGUUGCGGACAGGGAAGCGUCCGCGGGGGGGGUAUAAGUUCCUGCAAAGCACUCGGCACAAAUCAGCUGCGUCUACGCACUUGCAUCAGGUACAAAGUCGACAUUCCUCCUUUCGCAUGCAUUGGGUAGACGGCAAUUCCCCGCAGCGGCCCCCUUGGCAAUCCAAUCCCUUGGCUCAGCCAACCCUGCCACUAUGAGCCACUGUAACGGAUCUCCUUGUACAUCUUAUACAUGCCACUACCACCACCAUCACCACCACUUAUAAUUGGUUUAACCGUAAGUCCUCCCUAAUAUCGUGGCCUCGUAUUUUGUCGCAUAGUGUCGUACAGUAUAGCUGUAGCAUCGUCAUAGGUAAGGUUAGUCUCGGAUCCGGCAAAACACAAAACAAAAUUACACGCCUACUGGUAAUAAAGGCACAAGCAAGCACGCAUUCACACGUAAACCACCACUGCCACAGCCAUUCACUGCAACACACGUACACACGUACACACACACAAAAGGCUGACCCGUUAUCCGACAGGCAAACACCAAAACCAAACGCCUCCAAACCAAUAACAUCGCAAUUCUCUUCUCCCCCCCCCACUCGCAGCCAGCUCUCUCUCCUCCCCUCUCCUCCCACCCCCCAUGUACAGCACCUCCUGCCCCCAUAGCCCCUCAUCAUUGCCGUCGGAAGGUACCCUAGCCACGCUACCCAAGCGCCACUGGCGCCGCCGCCGCCACUGCAGCGGCGCCGCCGCCGUCGCCGCCGUACGCCAGCAGGGGCAGCGGCCGCUCAAACAGCUUUCCAACCUGCCCCGUGGCGUUGUGUCGAAUCUUAAACAGCCCCGUCCCCGUGGGCAUGGCAAUGCCCAUGAUGAUCGACUCGCUCACCCCUACCACAUCAUCCAUGCGCCCGUGUAUUGCCGCGUCAAACAGGUGAUCGGCGGUCUUCUCGAAGCUGGCGGUGUGUAGAACGCUGUCCUUCAUCUUGGAGAUACCGAAGCGGGUNNNNNNNNNNNNNNNNNNNNNNNNNNNNNNNNNNNNNNNNNNNNNNNNNNAACGUCAGUCACCUGCGAGUCUUUGGAUGCGUUGCCUACGUCCACGUACCCGACGUCAAGCGCGACAAGUUCGACCCGGUGAGCAGGCGUGGAAUACUUGUCGGAUACGGGAACGGUGGACAAUAUCGUGUACUAUACGAGGACGGCAUUAUUGCCGUAGUUUCUAACGUUCGUUUUGACGAGUCUAACGUCGGCCGGCGGCGUAAUGCCGGGGACUCCGAUUAUGAGUCCGAUGCCGACGAGGAGGAGGAGUUUCGCACUAGUUUAUCUGGUGAGGGAUCGCUGCCUAGGGCUGGCGAAGGGACACCAGGUAGCACCGUCGGCGAGGGAUCGCCGCAUUUGGGUGGCGAGGGGGCGCCGGCUGGGGCUGGAUCUUCCAGCAGUGCGAACGGGCAAGGAAUCAAUCAGCCUGAUGUGGAAAUGGCGGGAACUAGGUACCCAGUUAGAGAGCGUAAACGCCCUGGCGAAUGGUGGCGAAACGAACCUGGUCGCACUGUCACUGGUCGCAUUAACGCUGCUUUCUCUGCUGGUAUUCCUGAGCCUAAUUCUUUUGCGGAAGCCAUUGCGAGUGCACAUGCAGACGACUGGCGGCGUGCGAUGGACGAGGAGAUCGCCGCCCAGAUGGCUAAUAGUACUUGGGAGCUGAAGAAGCCACCUCCUGGUACUCGUUUGUUGCCGUGUCGUUGGGUAUAUAAGGUUAAGUACAGCGAUGACGGCAGCGUGGAGCGUUUUAAGGCGCGUUUAGUUGCCAAGGGUUUCGAGCAACGUGAGGGGAUUGAUUAUGGGGAGUUGUUUGCCCCUACCUCUCGUGGUUCGUCAUUGCGUGCUUUAUUAGCAGUUGCCGCAGCCCGGAACAUGACGGUACAUCAGCUCGAUGUGUCUACUGCGUUUCUGAAUGGUGAGCUGAAGGAGGAAUUGUGGAUGGAGCAACCGCCUGGGUAUGCAUCUAGUGACCGGUCGCUUGCGUGCAACCUGCAGAAGUCUAUUUACGGGUUGAAGCAGGCACCCCGUUGCUGGUAUGAGAAACUAUCAGCAGAGUUCGCCAAGUUGGGUCUUUAUCCUUCGAAGUCUGAUCCGGCGAUGUUUGUUAAGACGGACGAGCGUGGGGUUGUUAUUGCUUUGGUACACGUAGAUGAUACAAUUGUUGCGUCGGAAGACCCGGAAAUGGUCCGGGCAAUUAAAGCCGCAAUUGCGAAGGUCUUCAAGGUGCGCGACCUUGGAGAAGCGAAGGUGUUUUUGGGCAUGGAAAUUAGGAGGGAGAAGUCGGGUGAGAUAGUGUUGUCGCAACAUAGGUAUAUUGCGCAGCUGUUGGAGCGUCAUAGGAUGAUUGACGCCAAGCCGAGGUCUACCCCUUUGCCUCCGGGCUUUAGGUACACUCCUAAGGGGGACGGAGAGGAGCUGCUGGGCAAUCCCACAGAGUAUAGAACUUUGGUGGGAGAAUUGAACUAUCUGGCGACGAACACGCGGCCUGACAUUUCAUAUGCAUUGAGCGUUUUGUCCCGGCAUAUGGCCGCACCUACGAAGACUGCCAUGAACUUGGCAACCGGCGUUCUGCGUUACCUGGCGGGUACACGCGAACUAGGAUUGCGUUUUGGGGGUGUUGGCGACGUUGCUAUGUCCGGGUACAGUGAUUCGGACUGGGCAGGAGACCCAGUUACGCGGCGUUCUACGUCCGGUUACGUAUUCACUCUUAAUGGGGCUGCGAUUAGCUGGAGCAGCCAACUUCAACGUACUGUGGCGGCUUCGUCGGUGGAGGCUGAGUACCAAGCUACAGCGGCGGCUGUUCGUGAGGCUUUGUGGCUUCGCAAGCUGAUGGUUGAUUUGGGCUUGCCUGAGAGCGCGGUGAAAAUCCAGAUAGACUCCCAGGGGGCGCUUAGCUUGGGAAACAACCCGAUUACGUCUGCUCGGUCGAAGCACAUCGACGUGCAGCAUCACAUAGUGCGUGAGAGGGUGAAUAGCGGUGAGGUGCAGUUGGAAUACUGCCCUACGGAGUGGAUGGUAGCGGAUGUGCUAACGAAGGCUCUGGGCGAGGUGAAGUUCAAACGUUGCCGAGAUGCUAUGGGCCUUGUGUGAAGUGUGCAGAUGAACUUGGUACUCGUUGGGAUACGGCCCGAGGGGGCGUGUUGAGGAAACGGUCCUCUCCCAACUCGUGUGGUUGUCGACCAGGGGAUUUGACCCCGGGUCUGCGCCUGACUAAUGGGGAAGACUUACCCCAGAACCUUAUAGGGCUACCGAUGCAUAUCCGGUAGCUAAGUGAUAGACAUUAGGGCACCGUCUGGACGACGCAGUGAGAUCGCGGAAUGUACGUGCAGUUAGAUCGCGGAAUGUACGAGUUUUCCGCUAGCGCCGGUAUUUAGGGCGGUGACAGCGCCUAUUAGUUUAUCUAACAACGAUCGGUAUUCCUACCAGGAAUCUCCUCAAGUCCUGCCGAACGCUAACAAUAUUCUUUACAUUACUUGUAACAGUUUAUCGUGCUAAAUAUCUUCGCCACCGGCAAUCCUUCCGAAAUAACAAUCAGCGUUAGCCGUCACCGUCGCCAAUUCUUCAAUAGAUGUUCCUUCGCCAGCCCUAGGCAGCGACCCCUCACCAGGCAAGUUAGUGUGAACGUCUCCUCCUCAUCGGCAUCGGACCCAUAAUCGGAGUCCCCGGCACUACGCCGCCGGCCGACAUUAGACUCGUCAAAGCGGACACUGGAGACAACGGUGACGACGCCAUCCUCGUACAGGACACGGUACUGUCCUCCUGUAGUGGUAUCUACCCUUGGCGAAUCCAGCGAUGUAGAGGCGACGUUGACUGGCGCCGAUGAAGUAGACGGGUAGCUAAGUGUAGGUGAAGAUUGUAGUGAAAUCCAGAGUUGAGAGGACGUGGUUCAGGCCUUAAUUAGGGCUCAGCCCUGUAUCAAGCGGACCGGUUAUCAACCGUUGGUCUGUCAAACUCGGACAGGCCGAAAUCCCUUCAUCGUUCACGAUCGGUUAGUUUCUGACAGCCGUCUUGGCCGAGUCCUUCUUGGACGUGGUUACUCGCGUUCGUACGCGGUACCACAACAUUGCCUCCCCCUUAGGGCUUGACGUCCGCGCAAGUCCGUUGUCGUACUGACUCCAGCUCUGCUGUCAUAUCGGGAGUGAAAUGAUUCGCUGGUUCCCAGCUGUUGUGCUCGUCGGUAUAUCCUUGCCACCGUACGAGGUAUUCCUCCACGUACGUCCGACUUUGCGUCGUCGGUAAUCGAGCACCCUCUCAACCGGCAGAUAACCGUCUUCAGUGGUAUCCUGCCAAACAGGCAAUGUCUCGGGUGGUAUGGGACGAAACGGGCCAUCAGCCUAGUACGGUUUCACGAGGCUUACGUGAAACACAUUGUGUAUCUUCAGAUUGGGCGUGAGAGUUAACUUCACCGCAGCUUUACCAAUCAUCUUCUCCACUGGAAAGGGACCAACCCAUCGAGGUUGUAACUUACGGGGUACCUUCGGGCCCAUUCGUAAGUUUUUCGUACUUAAGAGUACUGAGUCACCGGGCUGGUACGUUGCCGAUUUCUUAUCUGCAUUGUAGUACGCCGUGGUCCGAUCUUGGGCUGCCAUCAGGCAUCUCUUUACUUCCUUCAGUCGUUUUUCCAGGGUUUCAGCCAUACCUGCGGCGGCCGGUACGUUACAGGCUGUUUCCCUCACCACCGGUGUUGCCGGGUGCCACCCGUAAUUAAGGAAGAACGGUGUUUGGUUCGUCGCUCGGUUUAAAGCGUUGUUCACGGCAAAUUCAGCCAAGGGUAAUGCUUCAUCCCACGAUCGUGGUUCUGUAGCGCAAUAACUGCGAAGCAUGUCUCCCAGGACUCGGUUCAUCCGUUCGUUUGUCCAUCCGUCUCAGGGUGGAAAGCUGUGGAGAGAUUAGGAUCGAUUUCAAUCAUUCGUGCCAGGUUUUGCCAGAAGUGACCGGCAAAUUGAGAUCCACGGUCCGAGACCGUUUGUUUUGGCACGCCGUGCAACCGGAUCACGUUUUGAAGGAAGAGUUUAGCGGUUUUUUCGGCGGUGAUACUUUUCCGUACUGGGACAAAGUGCGCCAUUUUCGUCAAACGGUCGACGAAGACCAAGAUCGCGUUGAACUGGCGAGCCGUACAGGGCAAGCCGAUUACGAAAUCCAUGGAGACACUAUCCCACGGCAUUUCGGGGAUUGGUAAGGGUUGUAACAAGCCAAUCUUCUUGCCUGUACGGCUUUUGUUACGUUGGCACUUGUCGCAGGUAAGGACAACUUGUCGCACAUCCGCGGCACAAUUGGGCCACCAAUGAGUACAAGUUCCAACGUGCGGUGAACUCCCGGGUGUCCGGCCAAGGGGUCACCAUGGCAACGGUUUAUGAAUUCCUUGCGGAGAUCGCCGUGAUUGGGCACCGCAACACGUUUCUUGCCAUCAGGAAGAGUUUUGAGCCAAAAGCCCUCUUGCGUUCUUUCCCGGUUCGCAAGGUUCUCAGGGUUUUGGAACCACGGGUCCUUCUCGUAUCCGGUCAGGAUGCGAGCCCGCAGGGUUUGCCGCGUUUGCAUGCGCGUCACUGCAUUCAGCAGCGGAUGUCGGCUCAGUGCGUCAGCAACGUUAGUUUUACCGCUUCGGUGUUCCCAAUGAAGGUGAAAACGGGAAAGGAACUCAAGCCAUCGAGCUUGACGACGAUUCAGCGUCGGUUGCGUCUUUAGGUAGAUCAGGGGGUGAUGAUCGGUGAUGAUCGGUCACGACUCUCAUCAUGUGGACCUUCCAGGUAGCAGCGCCAAGUGCGUGUAUUACACCAAGUAGUUCCUGCUCACUCGUGGUAUAGUUCCGCUCCCCAGGAGUGAACUUUUUACUGGUGAAGGCGAUGGGUUUUCCGUCCUGCAGUAGGACUGCACCCGUACCGCGUAAGGACGCGUCCGAGAUCAAUUCGAACGUAAAAGGCUUAGUCAUGUUUUGGUACCGUAGCAGUACAUCGUCUGCUAACGCAUUUUUCACCAUUUCAAAGGCGUGUACCCGUGGUGGAGUCCAAUCCUCAGGACGGACUUGACCUUUUCCACGUAACAUAUCCGUGAGAGGAGCCGAAAGCGAAGCAUACGCUUUAACGAACUUCCGGAAAUAGUUCGUAAGGCCCAAGAACUGCCGUAACUCGGACACGUUCUGUGGCAGUGGCCAUUCACGGACAGCCUUCACCUUCUUAGGGUCCAUGCGAACUCCUUCGGCACUAACAAUGUGACCGAGGUACUCAAGCUGAGUUUGCGCCCAGUGGCAUUUGGACGACUUUGCAUGAAACCGUGUUUUCCCGUGUGUUCCCGUCGUAGCACUUCGAACACGGUUUCAAGGUGUUUUAGAUGCUUCACGACUUCGGGAAUACACCAGGAUAUCAUCCAGGUAAACCACGACAAACUUGCCGAGGUAGGGCUGAAAGAUUCGGUUCAUCACCACUUGGAACGUGGCAGGGGCAUUAGUCAGCCCAAAAGGUGGGACAACAUAUUUAUAGUGUCCCAGGGGAGUACGAAACGCUGUCAGCGGUACAUCCUCUGCUCGAAUCUUUAUUUGAUGGUAUCCCUGUUGUAAGUCAAUGGAGGAGUAGAUCACACUACCUCCCAGACUAUCCACCAAAUCAUCUAUCCGCGGCAACGGAUACCGGUUUUUAACCGUUUGUGCGUUCAGCCCUCGAUAAUCCACCACCAUGCGUAACGUUCCGUCCUUCUUUCCCACGAAGAGGAUCGGAGCUGCCCAUGGAGAUGCGCUAGGGCGAAUCAUCCCCUUUUGCAUCAGGUCAGUUACUUGACGUUUCACCUCCUCCAGCUCAGCGGGAGUCAACCGAUAUAAUGGGCGAGAUACCGGUGUUGCACCUGGUUGCAACGGAAUGGUAUGUUCCACGGGUCUAUCUGGUGGUGGCCCCUUCAGGUCCUGAAAGAUCAUUUCGUAUUUUGCAAUCAGUGCUCUGAACUCCGGGUCUAGCGUUUGCUCAGUAGCGUUGAUUGUGCGCGGUAUUCCAGCCUGUGGGGACUCCGGGUCUUGCGUUUGUCCAACACUGGUGGCGCGCUGCGAUUCAGGCAAUGCAACGGGCUCCGGGUUUUUCGUCUGUCCGGCAUUGACUGCGGCAGCGGUAACCGCUUCAUGCCACCGCCGGUUGGCUGACUCUGCGCUUCACCCGCUUUUGUUUGCGCUUGAGCCGCUGCCUGUUUCAGUACGGCUUCAGCUCGUACUAGUGGUCGGACGAGCAAAGAAUGCGCCCCCUUGCGCAUAAGGCUUUUCGCUUCCUUGCGAGUAGCCGUUUUGACGCUUGCUCGAUUCAUGAACGAAGCGAUUACGUGGUGAACUUCAUGCUCCGUAGGUACCGUCGCGGACACCGUCCCUGGCGUAUCCUGCUGCUGCUGAGCUAUCCGACCAAAUUUGACACGGUAACUGAGGUCCCUUUUGCGAAAACGGACUUGACUUUUCUCAAAGUCCAGAUUCACCUUAUACCGUUCCAUGGUAUACGCGCCAACGAUCACGUCUGCCGUUGCCGUCAGGUUGGGCAGUAUCAGCGCAGGAACUUGAACCCGCAUUCGACCAAGCUUCAGCCUUAGCAAGGCCUGGCCGAGGAUAGGUGUAUUACUUCCGUCGUAUGUAAUGUAAUGUAAUGUGUAAUGUUACAGAGUGGGAGGCUUCUGGGCCGCUUUAUCACAUUGUCAGUUCUAGAUCAUUUAUCACCUUAUAGCACCAUCCACCACUACCACACUGUACUUCGCCAUACGAACUGCAAGUCCAAGGCGGCGGAUCCAGCCUUCAGGGACCCCUCCUCAUCCAUUCACCCGAACAUCCGAAGAGACAGAGGGUUCGGCAAUCGCCACCAAUCCAGCGUGCGAAUCUGGUCCAUCAACUGUGACCUCAACUCCACAUCUCAGCAGCUAGCCAUAAUCUCGCGCUCCCGACUAAUUCGGGGGUCUCCCCAGGAAUCGAACCCAGGACCUUAAACCGCGAAUCGCAGUAGUGUCAAUCCAGACCAGACCAGACAUCCAUGUGAAUGAGCGCGAGAGGCUGCGCUGCCUUAUGCCCAGAUAACGGAAAAGGACCACGUGUAUGCUUUGCAAGGACGCAAGUCUCACACACACACACGCUGGCUGAUGGUAUGCUGUGUCGGUCAACAUCGAACCCAGUUACCAUAUUGUGACGCAGCAACGCCUCAAGGUUGCUGUAUCCCAAGUGGCCAUACCGUCGGUGCCAAAGUCGGUGCCAACGUUCAGCUCCGAUACCCACGGCAGCACACACAGCAUCACCAUCUGUUGUCUUCACGCUACGUCCACUUCAGAGCGCCCGUACCUCCACUGCUGUAGCAGACGGGAUACAAGUCCCCAUCCCGCUUUCCAGUCAGCACCAUCUGGUUCUGUAUGUAUACUUUCACCUGUCCGCCGCCGAAGACCACACUGCCUCCACGAUCAUCAAUGAUGCGGAACGAUAGGAUUUUGGCAGUGGCCUCCUCGUCGACGUAGACCUUCUUAAAAGUGAUGGCCUGUUUAUCGUUGACGUUAGACCGAAUCAUAAGCGUGCCAACUUCAGUCGGCCGAAGAGACUGUCCCUUGAUGCCCAUGAUGUUGAAGUGCUCCCAUGGCUCCAACAACCGCACGUUGAGAAGUUCUGAACGGUCAUACGUUAUGUGAUGAGUGGCGGCUGAGUCCAGGAACCACCCCGUCGGACGCUCACCGUUGUAAGCUGUGAACGCAACCUGCCGCGGGAAUCCUGAUCCCCUUCCAGACCCACCGGGCCCAGGCUUGCUGCCGCUAGCUCCGCUGCCGUGAUAGGCGAUGCCUCGGCCCUGCCUCGACCUUGCCUAGGCCGUGCCUCGACCUUGCCUCGACCGUGCCUCGACCUUGCCUCGGAUCUCUCGGCCGCGUAUCUCGGACGUGUCCUCAGGUCCAGGGAUGGUGGACGACUGUACGAUACUUACGUUGGUAUCGGUACAUAAGACCAAAGUGGUGCAUGUCUUUCUAUCUCAUCUUCGGAUGGAUCGGUAUUCCUUCAUAGGAAUCUCCUAAAGUCUUCUUGCCGUUCACCACUAACCCACAGACUGUAACCCUUAUAUCGCGACCAGUCUCCUUGCCUUCAUAUUCUUAACAGGUUAUGAGCCCCGGCUCACGCUAGCAGCAUCUACCUCUAAUACUCGUAUUCCACAAUGGGGAAGGGCAAGCUUGACGAGCCUCUGCACUUGAACAACUACGCCACCUGGCAAAUUCGGUUCAGCACGCUGUGUAUGGAGCUUGGGCUUCAGCAGUCCUUGCUCGCCGAGCCGGGAAACGAGGAGCAGAUUCGACAAUCUCGUAAGGUUAUCAACCUGCUCAUCAAGAAUGUUAAAGAUCACCAUUUGCCGAUGGUUACGGGUGCUGCGAACGCGAAGAGGGCAUGGGACGCUCUGGCCGCGAUGUUUGUCGCCAACAAUAACGCACGCAAGGUAGCUCUCCGUCAAGAGUUCAGCCGUUUUAAGAUGGUCGACGGCGAGCCGCUAUCCAAGUACUUAGGCUUGUUGGGAGUGGGGCACGUUAUCAGCGACUCGGAGCUGGCGUACACAUACACAGUGCUGGUUGGUUUGUCCAGCCGCUUCAGCAUGGUAACGACAUCCCUACUGGUGCAUGACGGCGAUUUGGACAUGGCUAUCGUCACCUCGAAGUUCUUGACUCUCGAGAUGGCAAGCGGUCGGUCUGGUACGCCUACCGAGUCGGCAGCUUAUGCUUCUGUCGGCGGUUUUUCGUUUGGCGCCUCUGGUUCUGGUCUUGAAAAUCGUGGCGCGGCCAGCAGCAGUUCUGGCGUUCCUCCCAAAGAGGUGACUUCCUUCUAUUGCAGCGAACCUGGGCCCGGUGGGUCUAGCAAGGGAUCAGUUUUCCCGAGGCAGGUUGCGUUUGUAGCUUACAAGAGUAAGCAUCUAAGGGAUCCUGGUCGAAUAUGGGAAUGGAGGACAGCAUCGUGUGCUGUACAAGGAUGGCAUCAUCGCCGUGGUCUCCAACGUCCGCUUUGACGGGUUUGCCGUGGUCUCCGCUUUGACGAGUUUAGUGUCGGUCAGCGGCAUAGUGCCUGUUGAGGAAACGGUCCUCUCCCAACUCGUGUGGUUGUCGACCAGGGGAUUUGACCCCGGGUCUGCGCCUGACUAAUGGGGAAGACUUACCCCAGAACCUUAUGGGGCUACCGAUGCAUAUCCGGUAGCUAAGUGAUAGACAUUAGGGCACCGUCUGGAAGGCGCAGUGAGAUCACGGAAUGUACGUGCAGCUAGAUCGCGGAAUGUACGAGUUUUCCGCUAGCGCCGGUAUUUAGGGCGGUGACUGCGCCUAAUAGUUUAUCUCACAACGAUCGGUAUUCCUACCAGGAAUCUCCUCAAGUCCUGCCGAACGCUAACAAUACUCUUUACAUUACUUGUAACAAGUUUAUCGUGCUAAAUAUCUUCGCCACCGGCAAUCCUUCCGGAAUAACAAUCAGCGUUAGCCGUCACCGUCGCCAAUUCUUCAAUAGUGCCAAGGAUUCCGAUGAUGGGUCCGAUGCCGACGAGGGUUGUGUUCCUUGAGGGGUCGCUGCCUAAGGCUGCCGAAUGGACAUCAGGCAAUCGCCGCCUUUGUGUGGCGAGGGGGCGCUGGCUGGGGCUGGACCUCCCAGAAGUGUGAAUGUGCAAGGAAAUACACACCCUGAUGUGGAAAUGCUGGGGGCUCGGUAUUCAGUUAGGGAAUGCAAACGUCCUAGCGAGUGGUUACGGAGUGUACCUGGUCGUAGUGCUACAGGCCGAGUCAUUGCUGCAGUAUCUGCUGGGAUUCAGAGCCUAACGUUUAUGCCGAACCCAUCUCAGGCCCACAUGCAGACGACUGGCGGCCGUGAGUGCCGUGAAUAUUUUGUAUCCAGUCGACCCAACUGGACAGCGUGGAUUGCAGCAGGCGAUCAUUUGCUGCAACUACCAACAAACGGGCCGUAUAGCUCGGAGUUGCAGAGAGAGCCGCAGCCUAACGUGCAAGGAGUGGAGGUGGUCUUGCCGACUACACGUGGCAGGUGGGGUAGCAUGCCUCAACAGACAGGCGGCGGCAAUGCAGUGAUGCCGUGUAUGUUUUUGCUGCAAGAUACGAACCACUAUAAGUUGUCUGACAUCGAAGCGGCUAGUACCGGUGUACCUGAGUCAGGGCCUUUGCCAGCGGCAAGCCAGCGCAGGAGUUCAGAAGACGAGGGCAGGGAAUAUGAGGAUAUAUCGUGGCCCUUGGAGUGGUGGUGUGAUGAUGCAGGAUGCAGGAUAGGACGUCACAUUCACGUGGCUGUCACUGAUCCGAACCCUGCUGAACUUUUGCUGAGUAAUACUUUCACUGAAGCCAUUUCAGGAGCAAAUGCAAAUGAGUGGCGCAGAGGGAUGGUCGAGCAGAUUGCUGCAUUAGCAGCUAACGGCACUUGUGAGCUGUGUGCACAGCCUCUUGAUGUGCUAAUGUACCGGUGGUUGUACAAGUUAAAAUGUGUGGAAGGUGACACUAUCAAGCGCUUUUUUGCAUGGCUAGGUGCAAAGAUGUACGAGAAGUACGAGAACUUGGAGCGAGCGCAGGUGUUAUCAUCGGGCAUGGAAAUACUGAGGAUGAAGCCGGCUGAAUUAGUGUUGUCGCAAUAUUGAGCAGCUAUUGGAGCGUCACCAGACGGUUAACGCCAAGCCACGGUCUACCCCUUUGCCUCCGCGUUUUAGGUGCACACCUACGGGGGAUAGAGAUGAGCUGCUGGAUCCCACGGAGUAUAGCGUUUUGGUAGGAAAGUUGAACUACCUAGCGACGAACACGCGGCCUGACAUUUCUUAUGCAUUGAGUGUUUUGUCCCGGCAUAUGGCCACACCUACGAAGAGUGCCAUGAACUUGGCAACUGGUGCUCUGCGUUACCUGGCGGGUACUCGCGAACUAGGAUUGCGUUUUGGGGGUGUUGGCGACAUUGAGAUGUCUGGGUAUAGCGAUUCUGACUGGGCAGGAGACCCAGUUACGCAGCGUUCUACGUCCGGUUACGUAUUCACUCUUAAUGGGGCUGAGAUUAGCUGGAGCAGCCAACUUCAACGUACUGUGGCGGCUUCGUCGUUGGAGGCCGAGUACCAAGCUACAGCGGCGGCUGUUCGUGAAGCUUUGUGGCUUCGCAAGCUGAUGGUCGAUUUGGGCUUGCCUGAUAGCGCGGUGAAAAUCCAGAUAGACUCCCAGGGGGCGCUUAGCUUGGGAAAUAAUCCGAUUACGUCUGCUCGGUCGAAGCACAUCGACGUGCAGCACCACAUAGUGCGUGAGAGGGUGAAUGAGGGGAGGUGCAGUUGGAGUACUGCCCUACAGAGUGGAUGGUAGCGGAUGCGCUCACGAAGGCACUGGGAGAAGUGAAGUUCAAACAGUGCAGAGAAGCUAUGGGCGUUGUGUGAAGUGCCCAUUGGCGGGGCAAAUGUGCUGCUGCGAGUUGGGAUAUGUCCCGAGGGGGCGUGUUGAAGGACGGUCCUAUCCCAACGUAGAUAGGUGGUAGUUAGGCGAUGAAUCCGCCGUGAUAGGCGAUGCCUCGGCCGUGCCUCGACCUUGCCUAGGCCGUGCCUCAACCUUGCCUCGGCCGUGCCUCGACCUUGCCUCGGGUCUCUCGGCCGCAUAUCUCGGUCGUGUCCUCAGGUCCAGGGAUGGUGGAAGACUGUACAAUACUUCCGUUGGUAUCGGUACAUAAGGCAAAAGUUAAGCAAGUCUUUCUAUCUCAUCUUCGGAUGGAUCGGUAUUUCUUCAUAGGAAUCUCCUAAAGUCUUCUUGCCGUUCACCACUAACCCACAGACUGUAACCCUUAUAUCGCGACCAGUCUCCUUGCCUUCAUAUUCUUAACAGGUUAUGAGCCCCGGCUCACGCUAGUAGCUUACAUAGCUAACGCAAAGAAGGCAUAGCACGCCUGCAAGCAACUACAGUCGGACUUAAUUGGGAGUAGGACACGUUAUCAGCGAUUCUGAGCGGGCACACACUUUGCUUGUUGGUUUGCCCAGCCGCUUCAGCAUGGUAACGACAUCCCUACUGGUGCGUGACAGCGAUUCGGACAUGGCUAUCGUCACCUCGAAGUUCUUGACUCUCGAGAUGGCAAGCGGUGGGUCUGGUACGCCUACCGAGUCGGCAGCUUAUGCUUCUGUCGGCAGUUUUUCGUUUGGCGCCUCUGGUCUUGGGAAUCGUGGCGCAGCCAGCAACAGUUCUGGCGUUCCUCUCAAAGAGGUGAUUUGCUUCUAUUUCAGCAAGCCUGGGCCCGGUGGGUCUAGCAAGGGAUCAGUUUUCCCGAGGCAGGUUGCGUUUGUAGCUUACAAGAGUAAGCAUCUAAGGGAUCCUGGUCGAAUAUGUGAAUGGAGGACAGCAUCGUCUGAUGUACAAGGACGGCAUCAUCGCCGUGGUCUCCAACGUCCGCUUUGAUGAGUUUGCCGUGGUCUCCAUUGUCCGCUUUGAUGAAGUUUAGUGUCGGCCGGCGGCUUAUGCCAGCGCACGAGUACAGAAGACGAGGGCAGGGAAUAUGAGCCAUCGGAGUGGUGGCAUGGUGUUGCAGGAAGGAGGAUAGGUCGUAUUAACGUCGUAUUAACGUGGCUGUCACUGAUCCGUACCCUGCUGAACGUUUGGUGAGUAAUACUUUCACUGAAGCCAUUUCAGGUGCAAGUGUAAAUGAGGGGCGCAGAGUGAUGGUCGAGGAGAUUGCUGCAUUAGCAGCUAACGGCACUUGUGAGCUGUGUGCACAGCCUCUUGAUGUGCCAAUGUACCGGUGGUUGUACAAGUUAAAAAGAGUGGAAGGUGACACGGUCAAGCGCUCUUUUGCAUGGCUAGUUGCAAAGAUGUACGAAUAGUACGACACCUUGGAGAAGCGAAGGUGUUUUUGGGCAUGGAGAUUAGGAGGGAGAAGUCGGGUGAGAUAUUGUUGUCGCAGCAUAGGUAUAUUGAGCAGCUGUUGGAGCGUCAUAGGAUGGUUGACGCCAAGACACGGUCUACCCCUUUGCCUCCGGGUUUUAGGUGCACACCUACGGGGGAUACAGAUGAGCUGCUGGAUAAUCCCACGGAAUAUAGGGCUUUGGUGGGAAAGUUGAACUACCUAGCGACGAACACACGGCCGGACAUUUCUUAUGCAUUGAGUGUUUUGUCCCGGCAUAUGGCCACACCUACGAAGAGUGCCAUGAACUUAGUUAACAAGGUCUGCGUUACCUGGCGGUUACUCGCGAGCUAGGAUUGCGUUUUGGGGGUGUUGGCGGUGUUGCAAUGUCCGGGUACAGCGAUUCGGACUGGGCAGGAGACCCAGUUACGCGGCGUUCUACGUCCGGUUAUGUAUUCACUCUUAAUGGGGCUGCGAUUAGCUGGAGCAGCCAACUUCAACGUACUGUGGCGGCUUCGUCGUUGGAGGCCGAGUACCAAGCUACAGCGGCGGCUGUUCGUGAAGCUUUGUGGCUUCGCAAGCUGAUGGUCGAUUUGGGCUUGCCUGAGAGCUCGGUGAAAAUCCAGAUAGACUCCCAGGGGGCGCUUAGCUUGGGAAAUAAUCCGAUUACGUCUGCUCGGUCGAAACACAUCGACGUGCAGCACCACAUAGUGCGUGAGAGGGUGAAUAGCGGGGGGGUGCAGUUGGAGUGUUCCUUGAGUAUUCCUUCAUAGGAAUCUCCUAAAGUCUUCUUGCCCUUCACCACUAACCCACAGACUGUAACCCUUAUAUCGCGACCAGUCUCCUUGCCUUCAUAUUCUUAACAGAAAUGGACAACUGCUUUAGUGCCUUCAACUUCCUGCAGUCCUUAAUCCGGGAGUUUUGCAAUUGUGACAAAACAAAUGUUUGGGGGGACCGCCAGAACUACUGCUGGCCGCGCCGUGAUUCCUAAGACCAGAACCAGAGGCGCCAAACGUGAGACCGCCGACAGAAGCAAAAGCUGCUGACUCGGUAGGCUUGACCCACUGCUUGCCACCUCGAUAGCCAAAAGAUUGGAGGUGACGCUCGCAAUGUCCAAAUCGCCAUCACGCUGUUAAGACCAGCAAAGCGCCGGACCCCCGUUGGGUCCUAUUACUGUGGCUACCAUUCACUGGUACAUGAGUGUCGGUCAUUUCCAACACCCCCCCGUGAGCGACACUCUCUCGCUCCGGGCCUUCCCGUGCCUCAUCCCGGUCUCCCAUUCUCUGGGCAACAGCCAAUGGGUAUCGAUCCGGCGACCUCUCGGCAAAAAUGCGCCAUUCGGGGCUCAUAACCUAUUGGAGAAAUGGCGACGGUGACGGCUAACGCUGAUUGUUAUCUGGGAAGAAUUGCCGGUGGCGAAGAUAUUUAGCACGAUAAAAUGUUACAAGUUAUGUAAAGAGUAUUAUUAGCGUUCGGCAGGACUUGAGGAGAUUCCUUUGAGGAAUACCGAUCGUUGUGAGAUAAACAAAUAAGCGCAGUCACCGCCCUAAAUACCGGCGCUAGCGGAAAACUCGUACAUUCCGCGAUCUAACUGCACGUACAUUCCGCGAUCUCACUGCGCCGUCCUGACGGUGCCCAAUGUCUAUCACUUAGCUACCGGAUAUGCAUCGGUAGCCCAUAAGGUUCUGGGGUAAGUCUUCCCCAUUAGUCAGGCGCAGAUCCGGGGUCAAAUCCCCUGGUCGACAACCACACGAGUUGGGAGAUGACCGUUUCCUCACCUAUUGGUCUUGAUACCACGCCCCCUCGGGCCGUAUCCCAACGAGUACCAAGUUCAUCUGCACACUUCACACAAGGCCCAUCGCAUCUCGGCAACGUUUGAACUUCACCUCGCCCAGAGCCUUCGUUAGCACAUCCGCAACCAUCCACUCCGUAGGGCAGUAUUCCAACUGCACCUCACCACUAUUCACCCUCUCACGCACUAUGUGAUGCUGCACGUCGAUGUGCUUCGACCGAGCAGACGUAAUCGGGUUAUUUCCCAAGCUAAGCGCCCCCUGGGAAUCUAUUUGGAUUCUGAUAGCGCUCUCAGGCAAACCCAAAUCAACCAUCAGCUUGCGAAGCCACAAAGCCUCGCAAACAGCUGCUGCUGUCGCUUGAUACUCGGCCUCCACCGACGAAGCCGCCACAGUACGUUGAAGUUGGCUGCUCCAGCUAAUCGCAGCCCCAUUAAGAGUGAAAACGUAGCCGGACGUAGAACGCUGCGUAACUGGGUCUCCUGCCCAGUCAGAAUCGCUAUACCCAGACAUCUCAAUGUCGCCAACACCCCCAAAACGCAAUCCUAGUUCGCGAGUCCCCGCCAGGUAACGCAGAACGCCGAUUGCUAAGUUCAUGGCAGUCUUCGUAGGUGCGGCCAUAUGCCGGGACAAAACGCUCAAUGCAUAUGAAAUGUCAGGCCGCGUGUUCGUCGCCAGAUAGUUCAAUUCUCCCACCAAAGCCCUAUACUCGGUGGGAUUGCCCAGCAGCUCCUCUCCGUCCCCCUUAGGAGUGUACCUAAAGCCCGGAGGCAAAGGGGUAGACCUCGGCUUGGCGUCAAUCAUCCUAUGACGACCUUCGCUUCUCCAAGGUCGCGCACCUUGAAGACCUUCGCAAUUGCGGCUUUAAUUGCCCGGACCAUUUCCGGGUCUUCCGACGCAACAAUAGUGUCAUCUACGUGCACCAAAGCAAUAACAACCCCACGCUCGUCAGUCUUAACGAACAUCGCCGGAUCAGACUUCGAAGGAUAAAGACCCAACUUGGCGAACUCUGCUGAUAGUUUUUCAUACCAGCAACGGGGUGCCUGCUUUAAACCGUAAAUAGACUUCUGCAGCUUGCACGCAAGCGACCGGUCACUGGAUGCAUACCCAGGCGGUUGCUCCAUCCACAACUCCUCCUUCAGCUCACCAUUCAGAAACGCAGUAGACACAUCGAGCUGAUGUACCGUCAUGUUCCGGGCUGCGGCAACUUCUAAUAAAGCACGCAAUGACGAACCACGAGAGGUAGGGGCAAACAACUCGGCGGCUGGCAGAAGUUAAGGCCUGGCUUCUGCUCCCGUCGCGUCCCGGCGCGUCCGGGUUCAAAUCCGCCUGCCGACCUCUCGGGGUGUUUGAGAGGUGAUGAAAUGGGAGGUGGCCCCCCAUCUUGUGGACGAUGUAGGACGUGAUAAAAUCAACUCGCGAGCUGACCAGGAAUUAAGUUGACGCGCCGUUGAUCCGCUAGAUUUGGUUGGAUGCUGGUGGUGAGUUGCCAAACUCAAAGAGUACACUCUGAAGUCGGAUGGGGUGAAUGGCUUAGGGUGCCCCUCUAGCAGGGGAGAGCAGGGAAUUGCCUCGGGAAGGAGGCCACUGGUGAAGCUUAACCACCCUGUAACAACAUCAACUCCCCAUAAUCAAUCCCCUCGCGUUGCUCGAAACCCUUGGCAACUAAACGCGCCUUAAAACGCUCCACGCUGCCGUCAUCGCUGUACUUAACCUUAUAUACCCAACGACACGGCAACAAACGAGUACCAGGAGGUGGCUUCUUCAACUCCCAAGUACUAUUAGCCAUCUGGGCGGCGAUCUCCUCGUCCAUCGCACGCCGCCAGUCGUCUGCAUGUGCACUCGCAAUGGCUUCCGCAAAAGAAUUCGGUUCGGGAAUAUCAGUAGAGAAAGCAGCGUUAACGCGACCAGUAACAGUGCGACCAGGUUCAUUUCGCCACCAUUCGCCAGGGCGUUUACGCUCUCUAACUGGGUACCUAGUUCCCGCCAUUUCCACAUCAGGCUGAUUGAUUCCUUGCCCGUUCGCACUGCUGGAAGGUCCAGCCCCAGCCGGCGCCCCCUCGCCACCCAAAUGCGGCGAUCCCUCGCCGACGGUGCUACCUGGUGUCCCUUCGCCAGCCCUAGGCAGCGAUCCCUCACCAGAUAAACUAGUGCGAAACUCCCCUCUUCGUGGGCAUCGACUUAUAUCGGAGUCCCCGGCAUUACGCCGCCGCCGGACAUUAAGAUUCAUCGAAACGAACGUUAGAAACUAUGGCAAUAAUGCCGUCCACGUAUAGCACACGAUAUUGUCUUCCGUUCCCGUAUCCAACAAGUAUUCCAGGCCUGCUCACCGGGUCGAACUUGUCGCGCUUGACGUCGGGUACGUGGACGUAGGCAACGCAUCCUAAGACUCGCAUGUGACUGACGUUCGGACGAACAUUAAAGAAAGCUUCGUACGGAGUGACGGUUGACCCAGCAGUUGGCGACACAUUCCUAAGAUAGUUGGCUGUCGCUAACGCCUCUGCCCAUAAUGAUUUAGGCAGUCCAGAUUCAACGAGCAUAGCCCUAGUCUUGUCCAAAAGAGUGCGAUUUAAACGUUCCGCAGCUCCGUUCUGCUCAGGGGUGUAGCCUACCGUGUACAAUACCCCUGGAAGCGAAAUAGCCCUUCGUGCGAGUAUUAACGAACUCCCCGCCACGAUCUGUACGCACCUCCUUAACCUGCCUGCCAGUAGCGCGCUCCAGUUCCGCUAUCAUUACCACCAUCUUCUGGUAGACCUCCUCCUUGGUCGCUGUAAACGCAACAGCUGAAAGACCAGUAUGAUCGUCAAGCAGAGUUGUCACGUAACGCGAACCACUAGGCGAAGGUUCAGGCAUAGGUCCACACACAUCCAUGUGAAUGAGUGCGAGAGGCUGCGCUGCCUUAUGCCCAGUUAGCGGAAAAGGACCACGUGUAUGCUUAGCAAAGACGCAAGUCUCACACACACACGCGCUGGCUGAUUGUAUGCUGUGUCGGUCAACAUCGAAUCCAGCUACCAUAUCAUGACGCAGCAGCGCCUCAAGGUUGCUGUAUCCUAAGUGGCCAUACCUUCGGUGCCAAAGUGCUGCACGUUCAGCUCCGAUACCAACGGCAGCACACACUGCAUCACCACCAGAAGGUAUCCUGUUGUCUUAACGCUGCGUCCACUUCAGAGCGCCAGUACCUCCACUGCUGUAGUAGACGGGAUACAAGUCCCCAUCCCGCUUUCCAGUCAGCACCAACUGAUUCUGGAUGCCACGAACGCUACCUGCCGCGGAACUCCUGGUCCCCUAGCUGAUCUACCGGAUCCUGGCUUGCUGCCGCUAGCUCCGCUGCCACUAGCUCCGCUGCCACUAGCUCCGCUGCCACUGUUGUUGUAGCCACCCUUAUAUCCAGAAUUUGACGACUGCUUCAGCGCUUUAAGCUGCCUGCAGUCCCUUACCACGUGCCCAGGCUUAUUACAGUAGUAGCAGAUGAGUUGCUUCCGACUGUGUCCCGAGCUGUUGUUAGCCGGCCCCCGGCUACCAUAACCAGAAGUAGAAGCGCCGAACGUAGAUCCGCCGACAGACGCGAAGGCUGCCGACUCGGUAGGCUUGCCCGACCCACCGUUAGCCGUCUCGAUAGAGAGAAGCUUUGCUGUGACGCUCGCCAUGUCCAAAUCGCCGUCACGCAUUAGUAAUGUAGUCGUCACCACGCUGUACCGACUGGGUAGACCAACCAGGACGGUGUACGUGUCGUUAAUUACGUGGCCGACUCCCAAUAAAUCUGUUUGCAGCUGCCUUGCACGCGCAAAGUACAUCGGAAGAGGUUCGCCGUCGACCAUCUUAAAACGGCUGAAUUCUUGACGUAGAGAAACCUUGCGGGCGUUGUUGUUGGCAGCAAACCUGGAACUAAGUUGAUGCGCCGUUGAUCCGCUAGAUUUGGUUGGAUGCUGGUGGUGAGUUGCCGAACCCAACGAAUACAUUCUGAAGUCGGAUGGGGUGACGGAUUAGGGUGCCCCUCUAGCAGGGGAGAGCAGGGACUGCCCCGGGAAAGGGGGCCGCUGGCGAAGUUAACCACCCUGUAACAACAUAGAGCCCAAGGCGUCCCAGGCCUUCUUCGCGUUGGCAGCACCGGUAACCAUUGGCAAGUGGUGAUCCUUGACGUUCUUGAUAAGCAGAUUGAUGACCUUUCGUGAUUGUCGAAUCUGCUCCUCGUUGCACGGCUCGGCGAGCAAGGAUUGCUCAAGCCCAAGCUCCAUGCACAUCGCGCUAAACCGGAUUUGCCAGGUGGAGUAGUUGUGGAGGUCCAGCGGCUCAUCAAGCUUGUCCUUGACCAUUGUUGAUUAGGGAUAGAAAUAACAAUCAGACGAUAGCUGUCGGCGCUAGGCGGGGCUCAUAACCUAUUGGAGACCAGCAGGGACGUCGUUACCAUGUUGAAGCGGCUGGGUAGACCAACCAGCACUGCGUACGCCAGCUCCGAGUCGCUGAUAACGUGCCCCACUCCCAACAAGUGUGACUGUAAUUGCCGUGCACGUGCAAAGUACUUGGGUAGCGGCUCGCCGUCGACCAUCUUGAAACGGCUGUACUCUUGACGGAGAGCUACCUUGCGUGCGUUAUUGUUGGCGACAAACAUCGCGGCCAAAGCUUCCCAUGCUUCCCAUUCGCGUUCACAGCACCCGUAACCAUCGGCAAAUCUUUAACAUUCUUGAUGAGCAGGUUGAUAACCUCACGAGAUUGUCGAAUCUGUUCCUCGUUUCCCGGCUCGGCGAGCAAGGACUGCUCAAGCCCAAGCUCCAUACACAGCGUGCUGAACCGAAUUUGCCAGGUGGCGUAGUUGUUCAAGUCUAGAGGCUCGUCAAGCUUGUCCUUCCCCAUUGUGGAAUACGAGUAUGAAGGUAGAUGCUGCUAGCGUUAGCCGGGGCUCAUAACCUGUUAAAAAUAUGAAGGAGGCAAGGAGAAUGGUCGCGAUAUAAGUAUUACAGUCGGUAGGUGAGUGGUGAACGGCAGAAAGACUUUAGGAGAUUCCUACUAAGGAAUACCGAUCCAUACAAAGAUGAGAUACCAAGACUUGCAUAACUUGUGUCUUAUAUACCAGUACCAAUGGAAGUAUCGUUCAGUCGCCCACCAUCUAUCUAUCGUACAGUCGCCACCAUCUAUCGGAUUCAUCGCCUAUCUACCACCUAUCUACGUUGGGAUAGGACCAGGAUUCCAAAGGCUGAUUUCAUUCAUGGCAUACGGUGAGCAUCCGAUGGUUUCUGGACUCAGCAUUAAUGCAUCACAUCACCCCUGACCCCUCUGAGUUAUUUAACGUGUCUUUGUGUUGCAAAUGACCGACACUCAUAUACCAGUGAAUGGUAGCCGNNNNNNNNNNNNNNNNNNNNNNNNNNNNNNNNNNNNNNNNNNNNNNNNNNNCCAUUCACUGGUAUAUGAGUGUCGGUCAUUUGCAACACAAAGAGGCACACAACACACUGGGGGUUGGAGCAGUGGGAGCACUUCAAUAUCAUGGGCAUCAAGGGUCAAGCUUUGCAUCCAAUUGCAACGGUGGUCGGCUCACUCAUUAUUCCAGCCAACAUCAACGACAAACAGGCCAUUUCUUUCAAUAAGGUCUACUUUGGUGAGGAGGCAACAGUCAAGGUCUUGUCAGUUCCACGCACCAUCAAUGUAUUGGAGAAUUGGCGACGGUGACGGCUGACGCUUGUUGUUAUUCCGGAAGGAUUGCCGGCGGCGAAGAUAUUGAACACGAUAAACUGUUACAAGUAAUAUAAGGAGUAAUAGUAUGCGUUUGGCAGGACUUUAGGAGAUUCCGUUUGAGGAAUACCGAUCGUUGUGAGAUAAAGAAAUAAGCGCAGUCACCGCCCUAAAUACCGGUGCUAGCGGAAAACUCGUACAUUCCGCGAUCUCACUGCACGUACAUUCCGCAAUCUCACUGCGCCGUCCUGACGGUGCCCAAAUGUCUAUCACUUAGCUACCGAAUAUGCAUCGGUAGCCCCAUAAAGUUCUGGGGUAAGUCUUCCCCAAUAGUCAGGCACAGACCCGGGGCCAAAUCCCCUGGUCGACAACCACACGAGUUGGGAGAGGACCGUUUCCUCAACACGCCCCCUCGGGCCGUAUCCCAACGAGUACCAAGUUCAUCAGCACGCUUCACACAAGGCCCAUCGCACCUCGGCAACGUUUGAAUUUCACCUCGCCCAGAGCUUUCGUGAGCACAUCCGCAACCAUCCACUCCGUAGGGCAGUAUUCCAACUGCACCUCACCGCUAUUCACCCUCUCACGCACUAUGUGAAGCUGUACGUCGAUGUGCUUCGACCGAGCAGACGUAAUCGGGUUAUUUCCUAAGCUAAGCGCCCCCUGGGAAUCUAUUUGAAUCUUGAUAGCGCUCUCAGGCAAACCCAAAACGACCAUCAGCCUGUGAAGCCACAAAGCUUCACGAACAGCUGCCGCUGUAGCUUGAUACUCGGCCUCCACCGACGAAGCCGCCACAGUACGUUGAAGUUGACUGCACCAGCUAAUCGCAGCCCCAUUUAGAGUAAAAACGUAUCAGGAAGUAGAAUGCCGUGUAAACGGGUCUCCUGCCCAGUCAGAAUCGCUAUACCCAGACAUCUCAAUGUCGCCAACACCCCCAAAACGCAAUCCUAGUUCGCGAGUACCCGCCAGGUAACGCAGAAUGCCGGUUGCCAAGUUCAUGGCAGUCUUUGUAAGUGUGGCCAUAUGCCGGGACAAAAGACUCCAUGCAUAAGGAAUGUCAGGGCGAGUGUUAGUCGCUAGGUAGUCCAACUUUCCCACCAAAGCCCUAUGCACCAUGGGAUCCAGCAGCUCAUCUCUAUCCCCCGUGCACCUAAAACCCGGAGCCAAAGGGGUAGACCGUGGCUUGGCGUCCACCGUCUGGUGACGCUCCAAUAGCUGCUCAAUAUUGCGACAACACUAAUUCACCCGGCUUCAUCAUCAGUAUUUCCAUGCCCGAAAACACCUGCGCUUCUCCAAGUUCUCGUACUUCUCUUACAUCUUUGCACCUAGCCAUGCAAAAAAGCGCUUGACCUUCCACUCUUUUCAACUUGUACAACCACCGGUACAUUAGGACAUCAUGAGGCUGUGCACACAGCUCACAAGUGCCGUUAGCUGCCAAUGCAGCAAUCUCCUCGACCAUCACUCUGCGCCACUCAUUUGCAUUUGCACCUGAAAUGGCUUCAGUGAAAGUAUUACUCAGCAAAAAUUCAGCAGGGUACGGAUAAGUGACAGCCACGUUAAUGCGACCUACUAUCCUCCUUCCUGCAACACCAUGCCACCACUCCGAGGGCUAUAAUAUCUCCUCAUAUUCCCUGCCCUAUUCUUCUGAACUCCUGCGCUGGCUUGCACCACUAGAUGUUCCGGCUUCAUCCGGCAUUCCUUCACCAUCCACAGGUGACAGUGGUGCCUAGCCGACUGUGAGGCCCUGACUCAGGUACACCAAUACUAGCCGCUACAAAACUUUCACGGCACUCACGCCCGCCAGUCGUCUGCAUGUGGGCCUGAGAUGCCUUCGGCAUAAAUGUUAGGCUCUGAAUCCCAGCAGAUACUGCAGCAAUGACUCGGCCUGUAGCACUACGACCAGGUACACUCCGUCACCACUCGCCAGGCCGUUUGCAUUCCCUAACUGAAUACCGAGCCCCCAGCAUUUCCACAUCAGUGUGUGUGUUUCCUUCGACAUUCACACGUCUGGGAGGUCCAGCCCCAGCCAGCGCCCCUUCGUCACCCAAAUGCGGCGAUCCCUUGCUGACGGUAUUGCCUGAUGUUGCGAAUGAACAUUCGCUGUUGAGGAAACGGUCCUCUCCCAACUCGUGUGGUUGUCGACCAGGGGAUUUGACCCCGGGUCUGCACCUGACUAAUGUGGAAGACUUACCCCAGAACUUUAUGGGGCUACCGAUGCAUAUCCGGUAGCUAAGUGAUAGACAUUAGGGCACCGUCUGGACGGCGCAGUGAGAUCGCGGAAUGUACGUGCAGUUAGAUCGCGGAAUGUACGAGUUUUCCCCUAGCGCCGGUAUUUAGGGCGGUGACUGCGCCUAUUAGUUUAUCUCACAACGAUCGGUAUUCCUACCAGGAAUCUCCUCAAGUCCUGCCGAACGCUAACAAUACUCUUUACAUUACUUGUAACAGUUUAUCGUGUUUCAUAUCUUCGCCGCCGGCAAUUCUUCCGAGAUAACAAUCAGCGUUAGCCGUCACCGUCGCCAAUUCUUCAAUAGGUUAUGAGCCCCGCCUAGCGCCGACAGCUAUCGCCCAAUUGUUAUUUCUAUCCCUCAUCGACAAUGGUUAAGGACAAGCUUGAUGAGUCGCUGGACCUCAACAACUACUCUACCUGGCAAAUUCGGUUUAGCGCGAUGUGCAUGGAGCUUGGGCUUGAGCAAUCCCUGCUCGCCGAGCCGUGCAACGAGGAGCAAAUUCGACAGUCACGGAAGGUCAUCAAUCUGCUCAUCAAGAACGUCAAGGAUCAUCAUUUGCCGAUGGUUACCGGUGCUGCCUGUUAAGACCAGCAAAGCGCCGGACCCCCGUUGGGUCCUAUUACUGUGGCUACCAUUCACUGGUAUAUGAAUGUCGGUCAUUUCCAACACCCCCCCGUGAGCGACACUCUCUCGCUACGGGCCUUCCCGUGCCUCAUCCCGGUCUCCCAUUCUCUGGGCAACAGCCAGUGGGUAUCGAUCCGGCGACCUCUCGGCAGCGCAAUGCGCCAUUCGGGGCUCAUAACCUGUUAAGACCAGCAAAGCGCCGGACCCCCGUUGGGUCCUAUUACUGUGGCUACCAUUCACUGGUAUAUGAAUGUCGGUCAUUUCCAACACUGCCAACGCGAAGAAGGCCUGGGACGCCUUGGGAUCUAUGGGAUCUAUGUCUGCUCCCGUCGCGUCCCGGCGCGUCCGGGUUCAAAUCCGCCUGCCGACCUCUCGGGGUGUUUGAGAGGUGAUGAAAUGGGAGGUGGCCCCCCAUCUUAUGGACGGUGUAGGACGUGAUAAAAUCAACUCGCGAGCUGACCAGGAACUAAGUUGACGCGCCGUUGAUCCGCUAGAUUUGGUUGGAUGCUGGUGGUGAGUUGCCAAACUCAAAGAGUACACUCUGAAGUCGGAUGGGGUGAAUGGCUUAGGGUGCCCCUCUAGCAGGGGAGAGCAGGGAACUGCCUCGGGAAGGAGGCCACUGGUGAAGCUUAACCACCCUGUAACAACAUCAACAUCAACAACGCCCGGCGGGCGGCUGGCAGAGGUUAAGGCCUGGCUUCUGCUCCCGGCGCGUUACGGCACGUCCGGGUUCAAAUCCGCCUGCCGACCUCUCGGGGUGUUUGAGAGGUGUUGAAAUGGGAGGUGGCCCCCCAUCUUAUGGACGGUGUAGGACGUGAUAAAAUCAACUCGCGAGCUGACCAGGAACUAAGAUGACGCGCCGUUGAUCCGCUAGAUUUGGUUGGAUGCUGGUGGUGAGUUGCCAAACUCAAAGAGUACACUCUGAAGUCGGAUGGGGUGAAUGGCUUAGGGUGCCCCUCUAGCAGGGGAGAGCAGGGAACUGCCUCGGGAAGGAGGCCACUGGUGAAGCUUAACCACCCUGUAACAACAUCAACAACGCCCG